UUUAGCUCUCGUAACCCAGAACCAUUGUCUUUUCCCACAGCAAAAUUACACAACGUCUGAAGACAAGUCAGCUUACCAAUUCCUAGUGGCAUUUCCUCCAACGAAUCUGUAUUUGAAUUAUUGAGAUGAUGCAAUUUGGUGAGGUUUCCCAUGUCUGCACACAACUUCUUCAGUAGCUUACAGCCCUCCAACAGAAGAGUGUGCAAAUUGUAAAGCUUGCAGACUGAUUCAGGCAGAGUUCUAAUCACAGUUCCAGAUAGGUUGAGGUACCUUAAAUACCUCAAAUCACCAACUGAAUCCGGCAGCUCGGCGAUGAGAUAUCCACGCAGAGAGAAGACCCUUAAGCUUUGGAGUUUGAACAACUUAGGAAGAAUGCUAUGAGCCAAGUAUCCAUGUCGACUAUUUAACAUCACUGGUAAAAAAGUUCUCAAAUGUUGGAUAUCAUACAAUUUCUCAAACCUUUGAACGCCAUCAUAAUCUCCAAGAAUGUACGACAGAUGACGAAGAUCUCUAGAAAAACACUGUUGCUUGUUAACCUCCGAGGUAUACUCCAGUGUGAAGUAUGUCUCCCCUGCAGCCCAACGGGCAAGGUCGUUGAUAAGAUCGUGCAUAACAAAUCGUGAUGCAUCGGUGGCCGAUUGCUGGAAAAAAGAUCUUGAACAUAGCUCCUUAAAGAAAUCACGACCUAAAUCUUCACUAGGAUUCUCACCUUCUUUGUGAUCCAAAAAACCGGAGGCACACCAUAAUAAAAUUAUCUCCUCCUCUUCAAAUUCAUAAUCCUUUGGUAAUAAUGAGCAGUAUGCAAAGCAUUGUUUCAAAGCUGGAGGAAGAUAAUAAUAGCUCACCGCAAGGGCUGGUAUAAUGCGGCAUCUCUCUUCUGGUAAUUCCCAUAUCUUGCUACUGAGCACACGUUCCCACUCACGUCUGUCAUGCUCUCCACGUAAAAGUCCUCCAAGUGUUUGAGCUGCCAAGGGCAAGCCAUCGCAUUUGGUCACUAUCUUCCUGCCGAUUUCCUCCAAUGACAUAUGUGAACUGAAAUCUCGCGUCCCCAAAGAAUGUUGAGCGAGUAUAGCUAGACAAUCAUUAUAUGACAGCUUUUUUAAUUGAUAAGCUGGAAGAGUCCCCAUGAUUUUUGCAACCUCAUGAUUGCGAGUACUGACAAUAAUCUUACUUCCCUGUGCACUUGCUCCAAGCGGACGGCUGAAGUCAACCCAAUCAUCGUAAUUCCGGUUCCACACAUCAUCUAAAACAAGCAAAAAUUUCUUUCCAGAUAGUUGCUUAUUCAGUUCCUCUUGAAGCUUAUUCAAGUUGAGAUUAUCCACAUUCUGGUGAGUCACGAUGGAUGUCAAGAUUGUUUUUGUUAGCCUGAUAACAUCGAAAUCAUCUGAGACACAAGUCCAUGCCUUGAGAUCGAAAUGAUUCUGCACUCGAUCAUCAUUAUAGGCAAGCCGAGCAAGAGUAGUUUUGCCCAGCCCACCAAAACCUACAAUAGGUAUAACAGAGAAUCCACCAUCAUUUCUCAAAUCAUCCCUCAACAACAAUUCAACAAUUUCCUUCUUAUCUGUUUCCCUGCCAUAGACGUUGGCUCCAGUCACUACAGAGGUUGUCUCUAGCCUUUGACUGGCUUUUUUGGACCCUCCAGCUGAACUUACGUUCAAACCCAGCGAGUCUUUCUGUGUCACAAUUUCUUGAAAUCUGUCGUUGAUCUCUUUGAUUUUGGACAUCAUGGCGUAAUCGAACUGAAUCGAUUGUGGAGUAAAAGUGGUGCAGCAAGUAGGAAUGAGCUUCUGUGGAGUAAAAGUGGUGCAGCAAGUAGGAAUGAGCUUCCGAAACUUACUUGUUCUUGUACGACUGCUACUGGGUUGAUCCUGAGCAGUAGCUGGAUCUCCAUUUCCAAGCAGCAACUUCCUCCGGAAAGCCUCAGUUUGAAACUCAUCCAACAAGUCUUCAACAUCAUAAGCCAAGUUCUGAAGCUUGCCAAGCCACUUCUUCACAAACUGAUUAGUCGUCUUCUUCUCCUCAGCAUCAUCAAGCACCGCCUUGAUCAUCUCCAACAUAUUCGCCCACUUCAUCAGAUCGGCCUUGAUGUGCUCUUGGCGUGCAAAAAACAGAAUCCCCUCUGAAGCUAACUUAUUGACCAGCAAAUCAACGGACGCCGUAAGGAUUGCCUCUCCGAUGAUUGACAUUUUUUUUCUUUCUUCUCUCUCUUUUUUUUUUUUUUUGGGGGGGCAAAGAAAGAAGCAGAAUUUUGAGUUUUGAAAAGCAAAAUGAGAAAAUUGAACAGAAAGUGUGAAGGGUCAAGCAAAAUGAAUGUACCAAGUCUUCCACUUGUUGUUUAUUCCAGGAAAGUGCAAAUAAAAACAGAGCCCACCACCCAUUAAUAAUUUAGCAAUUUACCAAUCACCAACCACCACCACUUGUUACCAGAUUCAAUAAAUAUAAAAUCGCACGUUGAUAUUUGUAGGGCCAAGCAACAUUAAUCCAAUGUCCGGUAAAUGCUGAAUAAAGAGGAAAAUGGAAUGUAUCUACUACGGACCUUCGCUUUACAAGUCUUCAAAGUCAUAAUAAUUACUUUAUUUAUUGAAUUAAUUUUCAUGCUAAAAUGAAGACUUAAAAGUAUACUACAAUAUUUUAUAAUCACAAUGAUAAUUUUAACAAUCAUGUUAUAUUAAUGUCGUGUAAAAAUAAUUUAUAAUAAAAUUUUAGGCGAAUAUAGUAAAUUCGACUUAUUUAUUAAAUAUAUAUAUUUAAUAAAAUAAUAACACAAUUAAUAUGUUAUCAAUCAAAUAGAAACUCUAAUGUGAAAACAAAAACUGUCCCACCACCAAUAAUUUAGCAAGCUUCACUUUAUUACACUACAGUAAAAACAAAAUCGGCCCCCACCACCAUCAAUAAUUUAGCAAGCUCCACUUUAUUACACAAGUGAAAACAAAAACAGCCGCUACCACCAUCAAUAAUUUAGCAAGCUUCAAAUGCUUGUGCUUGUCUGCUUGACGAACUGGGCAUGGGUGGACCAGGCAUCAUUGAGCAAUUCCAAAAAAAUUUAAAAAAAAUAUCAGUGUCCAGCAAAGAAAAUCCAUCUUUAUGUGUUGCUUCCUACUUGGUUCAUCUACUGAUAUGUACAUAUAUGUAACAUUUAGAAAAAAGUAAUGAUACAGCCACAAACUCUUGUAUAAAUUUAUUUUAUACAAACUGAUGUGGCAUGAUAAGAUUGGUUGAAUGAAAAUAUAAAUUAAUAAAAAUAAAUCAUGUGGGCCAAGUGAUAUUUCAUUCAACUAAUCUUAUCAUGCCACAUCAGUUUGUAUAAAAUAAAUUUGUACAAGAAUUUGUGGCUGUAUCAUUACUCUUUAGAAAAUAGAAGUAGAAAUUGGAACUCACUUUAUGGCUCGUAUGCAACACACGCAUUAACAUUUAAUUAGAGUUCACACACACACACGUGUGUGUGUGUCUAGUUUUAAUUGAGAGAUAAAUUAAACAUAAAUACUUAGAUGUUUCUAAAUAAUUGAAUAAUGAUAUUAUUGGUAUUUAUAAAUUUCUAAGACGCGAUAAUUAUGUGGGGGACAUAUAUUUAUGGUUAUAGAAAAUGGCGGUAAAAAUGGUACAAAUAUAAUAUAAUAAAAAAGUAUAAACUGCAGUAAAUUAAUGUUCACUUCAAAGUACGUUAUAAAUAUCGCUUUCCUUAAUACGUUGUUUGCUUCCACCGAUUGAGUUAUGCAUAUGGAUUAAGUAAAUAUGCAUUCAGAAUAUAAUAAAAUGCUGAUUUGUUUGUUUACGUUGUACAUCAAUAAAAGCAAACAUGAAUAUUUUUUAACGUUAUAAGCCUACCGAGAAUUAACAUAUUUUUCUUAAAAAAAAAUAAUAUGUUGUAUAUUUGAUGCAUAAAAAAAUAAAAAAUUACCAAUAACUUAGCAAGCUUCAAAUGCUUGUGCUUGUCUGCUUGACGAACUGGGCAUGGGUGGACCAGACAUCAUUGAGCAAUUCGAAAAAAAUUUUAAAAAAAUAUCAGUGUCCAGCAAAGAAAAUCCAUCUUUUGAGAGAUAAAUUAAACAUAAAUACUUAGAUGUUUCUAAAUGAUUGAAUAAUGAUAUUAUUGGUAUUUAUAAAUUUCUAAGAUGCGAUAAUUAUGUGGGGGACAUAUAUUUAUGGUUAUAGAAAAUGGCGGUAAAAAUGGUACAAAUAUAAUAUAAUAAAAAUGUAUAAACUGUAGUAAAUUAAUGUUUACUUCAAAGGACGUUAUAAAUAUCGCUUUCCUUAAUACGUUAUUUGCUCCCAUUGAUUGAGUUAUGCAUAUGGAUUAAGCAAAUAUGCAUCUAAGAUACAAUAAAGCGUUGAUUUGUUUGUUUACGUUGACAUCAAUGAAAGCAAACAUGAAUAUUCUUGAAUGUUAUAAGCCUAACAAGAAUUAAUAUAUUAUUCUUACAAGAAAAUAAUAUGUUAGAUAUUUGAUGCAUAAAAAAUAAAUGUUAAUCGAUGAAAUUAUUUUGAAGAAAGAGGACUACAAAAAAAAUGGUGUAGGAUCAUUUUAGUCAUGUCAAAUUGACAUUUAUUUUUUUAUGAAUGUAGGGGUAUUUUGGUAAUUUUAUGGACACAAGCGUUAUAUGUUGUGGAUAGAUGUUCGUUUUGAACUAUAUUGCGUGUGGUUAGUCGUAUUUCACAUUUAUGAAAAGUAAUUAUGUUGUUUCCUUGAUUAGGAGAAACUGCUAAUGAGAACCAAGCCGUUGAUAUGAACAAUAGUCAAGUUUAAGUAUUGUCACUAUGAGUGAAAUAUGCAAACCCAUUUUUAUAUUUUAUUAUGAUUUUAGAGUGUAGUAAACCAUAUUUGAAAAAUAAGAUUUUAAUGCUAUAAUUUAAUGAUUUCUAGAAUAAAUUUGAUUUACGUAUUGGUACAUUAUUCAAAAUUUUAUGAUUAUUGGUUUUCCCUAUCGAUUUUGAGUAAUGCAUAAUAGUACUUUGAAGAAAAGAAAAGUAAAUUUAAUGUUAAUGGAAAGAAAAGAAGACUUAAUGUACAAUUAAAAAUGUGUUAUUUAUGUGUAUAAAAAUUUGUUAUUAAAAAUCAUGAGACAAGACCCUCUCCAUUUAGUUACAAUGAUACAGAUAAGAUAAGAGCCCUUUGGGGCCCCUUUGAACACAUAGAGAGGUUAAUAGGUUGUGUUUUUUAGCGCUUUUGCCCUUUGGAGGCUUAUGCAUGCUGUAUGAUAACAAAAAAAGAUUUAAGAUACAGAUAAGAUAGAGGCCUUUGGGUCUGUCUAAGUGCACAUGGAAGUUUUGGAUCGUGUGCUUGGGUGAUUUUGCCCUUUAAGGACUAUUUUAUGCAUGCAAUAUGAUGAGAUAUGAUGAUAUACAUGAGAUAGCACUUCAUUGAUCUAUUCUUUGUAGCUCCAGGCAUGACAAUGCCCGCAUAGUAUGUCAUUGCACUGCCCAUAUGCGGUCCAGGUAUGACAAGAUCAUUUACUUGUUUAGUGACAGUUUAAGAAUAAAGUAUUCUAUGUUAUCUUUUGAUAUGAUUUUCAUGUGUAUUACGCACAGUAUAAUGUAUUCUUCACUGACAAUUGUUUGAUUUAAAGUUUGAAUAAUUUAACUAUGUGCUUACUUAUAGAUUAGUAAAGUUGGUAUGUCGAAAAAAUAUGAUCAUCUUUAAAGUAAGUUACUUUCAAAAGAUGUUAUCCACUCACUGAGCUUACUAAUUUUUAUAUUAACCUUAUUUUAUCAUAUUUUUCCCCCCGUAGAAGGAUGCAAGUACACCAAUCGACUGACCGACUGUAGUUAUUUUGAAUUUUUGUUCACGUGAUGGCGCCAGGAGAAAUAGAUGGUAUUAUGCAUUUUGAUCAUCUCAUUUUGGAAUGUAUAAUUGUAUUAUGAUUUGAUGAUUAUGGAUGUUUAAUAUAUAUUGAAAUCAGAUAUAUUAUAAUAUUUUGAUAUUGGAGAUGUUUGGGUGUUAUUUGGUAUUUUGGUUGAGAAGGUUGAUUGAUGGAACUGGUUAUAUAUUAAACUAUGUUAGGAGUGCUUGUAUAAAUUUGCAAUUUUGGGAUUGUUAUAUUUAUAAGGGAAAUAAUUACCGAAUUUUCUGUAGAAUUAAAUUAUUAUCAGUCAAGUUAGACGAUAUCAAAUAGACCCGCAUGGAGUUCGAGGCGAGUCGUUUCAAAUCAAGUCCUUUAUAAAGCUCACUCACCCCUUGUUAGCUCUCAUUCGUUACAAGCAUCUAUCUAUCAAUAUAUCAAUCAAUGCUUACAUUUUCUUUCCUCUUAUACAUCAAAAUGAAGUUCAUCUUGGCAACCUUGCUGUGGCAUUAUUAUUGUCAAUAGUAUAGAACGUUUACAAUUAUCAUCUUCUGGUUGACCAAACCUGUAGCGAUGUUCCAUUCGGAGCCAACUGUGUGGCCUCAGUCAGCGCGAAACUCUCUUUAAAACCCGAUGUUGAAAUUAAACCAAAAUGAAAUCCUCGGCGCAGCAAUAACUGUACUGAAGGAACGCGUUAUUCAAGCUAGGGAAGACUAUUCUAAACCGCAUGAAAUUAGUAAAGACAACUAUGAACAGAGCGUGCUCAUGGCUUCCAUUGAAGAAUACAAUAAAGUCGUAGAAGCUUGCGACAAAGCAAUUGGACCAGCUAAGGUUGGCGAUUUUGACGUCGCAAAAACGGCAGCUGACGAAGCCGACCUGAGCGUUUCUCGCGCUGACGCAUACAACACCGAGAACCCGAACCUGAAACAUGUCAAUUUGAACUUGAAAAUUGCUUCUAAAAAUACAGUGGCCAUAGCCAUCAAGGCUCUUAGUAAAACAAGGAGAGUACAAUUAUUUAAUUUAAUUGAUCAUGAUUUCCGAUUUCUUUCAUCAUCGAUCUUUGUCUUUUUUAUCUUCUUUUUUUUUGAAUUUCCUCAUUUAGAUAUGCAAACCAAUGAUAUUCUUUUUGAUGAUAUUGUUGGAGUGAAUAAUAAUAAUAAUAAUAAUGCAAUCCAUCGGUCGUAGCAGAACUAGCUGACAGCGCCUGCAGGGCACGUGCAAUUAUAUUUUGAUCAGUGUUCACGAAGCUAAAGCAGUGUAAAUAACAGAUCAUGGCUUAAUUAAGUAAUUACCUGAAGGUGAUUAAAUAAUUGAGAAUGAAAUUAUAUUAUUAAGCAAAGACAUAAGCUAUUAUAUUAUUAAGCAAAGACAUAAGCUAAAUUACCCCAUUUAUCUGUUUGAAAUCUCGUCUUGAGAGCAAAUGGCGGCGCUGACGAGGCUUGCUCAAUUUCAGCCUGCAUGGCUGCAUGUCUGAUAAGAGUGGAAACAUAGUGCCUUUAGCUAAAUCGUAGAAUGUUAAAUCUGAUGCUACUGAAUAUGGAGAGUGAUUCAUAUACACGGUCUUCAUGAAUAUAUAAUUUUUAAUUACAGGAGAAGUUGCAAUAUGAAGUUAAUUUGAAAUUUAUAUUUCUCACCUCGAAUAAUUUCUGGUAAAUCGCUGAUUCGAUAAGGUUAAACUUUCUUUAUGAUCAUCAUCUUCUUCUUGGUCGUCGCCUUCCGAUGUUCCUAUUUCUGAUGUUUCUCCACAUUUUCUUCCUCUUUUAACAACUUUCGUUGAAGAUUUUGACAGAAAUAUCAUUGUGAGAAGAGUAUUUCUAAAGUUUACAACUUGGAAAUGAGACCUUAUGUGAUAUGUACAUGAAGGAUAGAGUACAUGUCAGUAUUUAUAAGAAACAAUGUGAUGGUUUGAAAGAGACUAGUGGUGGUUUUAAAGAAACUAAAUAAAGUUUAUUAUUUAAUAAAAAGUUAAAUAUAAAUCCCGAAAAAUCCACUGUAUAAUCUGACAGGAUUUGGAAAACGAAGGCACAUGCAUGGUAAUAUUAUUACUUUGUAAGACUGGAUUAUUUUUAUAAAUUUUUAUCCAAAGAAACUAAAUAAAGUUUAUUAUUUGAUAAAAAGUCAAAUACAAAUCCCGAAGAAUCCGCUGUAUAAUCUAACAAGAUCUAGAAAAUCGAAGCACAUGCAUGGCAAUAUCAUUACUUUGUAUGAUUGGAUUAUUUUUAUAAAUUUUUAUCCAAAGAAACUAAAUAAAGUUUAUUAUUUAAUAAAAAGUCAAAUACAAAUCCCAAAGAAUACGUUGUAUAAUCUGACAAAAUCUAGAAAACUGAGGCACAUGCAUGGUAAUAUCAUUACUUUGUAUAACUGGAUUAUUUUUAUAAAUUUUUAUCCAAAGAAACUAAAUAAAGUUUAUUAUUUAAUAAAAAGUCAAAUACAAAUCUCGAAGAAUCUGUUGUAUAAUCUGACAAAAUCUCGAAAACAGAGGCACAUGUAUGGCAAUAUCAUUAUUUUGUAUGACUGGAUUAUUUUUACAAAGUUUUAUCCAAUCCCUUGUUUGAUGCCAGUAAAUCAAUAUUUAAAUAUUUUGUUAUUUUGUUAUGUUAUUUGAUUUUAACUAUUAAUGUCAAUAUUGGAAUAUAUCUUUAUAUUGAACUAAUAAAACAACUGUAUAAAGACAUUUGAAUAAACUUAAUUACGAAUUUUGAAUUCAUGAUGUAAGAUAAUGUUUGCUUUUUAAUCUAAAAUCUUAGUGGAGUCUGAAUUUUGCUGAAAUAUGAAUAUCUUUAAAUUGCAUAUGUUUAAAUGAUAUGUUUAUUUUCUCUUUUUCGAUAUCCAAAUAUAAGUGGCAUCUUUUUUUUUUUUUAAUAAAUCAAAAACAUCCAAAGUAUGAUUAUUUAACAUUUAUGUUUUUGUAAGAAUUAUUUAUACUUAUUAUAAAUUUUAAGAGUUAAAUACGUGCACAUUACAAUUAAAAUCAAACAUACGUAGAGUUGAGUAAUUGAUCUUUAAAUAAAAAUAUUAUUACAUUACUCCAAAUACAAAAUUGAUUCAAACUUAUUAUACUAAUUAAAAUGUGAAUAAAUUUAAAUUUAAUUUUAUAAUUUACAUCAUCUUUUUUACCAUUUAAAAUUGUAAAAGCCCAUUCGCCCAAACCUAGUCUUAAUUAGCUGUACAUAAGUGUAAAGGCCCAUAUGUUCUUAAGAAGUGUUAAGUUUUCAUAGACCCAUAAGUGAAUGGAGAAGUGUAAUGCCCCAAAUUCAAGGUAGAGUUGUAACUGUUGGCAAAUCUGUAUAAUCCUUUUAAAACAGUUCUCUAAUUAUAUUAAAAGACAAAAUAAAUCUAAUUAAAUUCUUAUAUUUUUUUCUCUCUAUAAAUUUCUUUUUCUAGUUCAUUACUCGCACACAACUACACCAAAGUCUUUUAUAUUUUUUUUUUAUUUUCUCUCAAACACUUUGUAUAUUACAUAAUAACUAUUUAAGUCCAUUUUUGGUUCUACUCAAUUCAAGUAUAUAGAAUUUUCUUUUUAAUUAAAUAUAUAUGAUUUAAACUUUCAAAAUUUUGUAAAAACAAUAUUCCUAAUAUGAGGUUUGUGGAAGAAGUUAAAUAUUUUUUUAAUAAAAAAGAAACUGAAAUUUUAAAACAGAGAUUUUGAAAACUUAAAAUAGGUUUUGAGAGGGGGUGGGGCUUGAGUAAAAAAAAAAAAAAUAAGGUGCUAUUAGUUCCACUCUUCAAGCAAAGAUACACAGAUCUUUACUCUCUCAAAUAAAUUUUGAGGUGAAUUUUAUUGUUGGCUAAUCACGUUGAUAUGAGUGUGAAUAUGAAAAGGAUAAAACUUAUAAUAAAGAAUUAUAUGAACUAUAUUUUAAAGAGAAAAUAUAUUUUUAGAAAAUGUGGCCCAAUGUCUUCAGAUGGGUUAGUGUUGGUGUGUGACUAAGAAAUAGGCCGAAGUUGUAAAAAUAAAAAAUAAAAACAGUAGGUUUUCAUAUCAACAAAGAACAGUUAUUUCACAGAACACAUGAAUAUCUCUGUGAUGUUGAUGCUUUCAUUUCUACAGCUUCCUUUAGUUUUCUCCCCAGUGCAAACGCCAGAGGAGGUGGAACAGCAUUUCCAAUCUGCCGAUGCUUGUGUUGGAUGUCACCAACAAAUUUAUAGCUAUCGGAGAAACCCUGCGGGAAUCAAGAGAGCAGGGUAACAUGACAGCAGAAACAGUUGGCAAAAUUUAUCUUGUUUGAUUCAAUAAUUAGCUUGUCAAGUUAAAAAUUAUCUUGUUUGAUACAACUUCUCACUAGGUAGAACACGCCAAUCGGAACCAGGCUGUUUUGGGAUCUUUUGACACCUAAUGAGGUUCAGCUCACUCAUUGCCUUCGAUAUAUGAUCAUUUAAGACCAGCAUAUCUCCUCUGAUUUUUUUUUGAAACCAUGACACAGGUUCACUUUUAUACUGUACGGUAGGAAAAUACAAGAAACAAGACCUUUGGUAGAAGGAACAACAAUAAAGAUAAAAUGAGCAUCACAGACAGGUGAAGAAAAUCCCACUUCCAUGGUUGUUACUGAAGCCCCAUUGCCAACAGCUGGGAGGUCUCCAAUUGUAUCUCUAACUGUUAUUGCACGAAAAGGAGCACCACUGAACACAUACAUUGGCUCAGGCCAUUCUGGGAGGGUUUCCUCAGGUGAUGCUGCCCAUAUGAAUGCACGUUUACGAGACUGAGACAUGCCAUAUGCUCCUGCUUGCAGGACACCAAAUCUCACCUACGACAACAAAAUUAGAUGAAUAAUUUAUAUAAGCUACAUGAUACUUUCACAAUUUUCAGAUUAAAUUGACUAAUGAAAUGGAGAAACAAAUUCAGGGAAUUUUGAUAGGUACCCCUCCAUAAAGUUAUGAGUGAGUAAAUAAAAAAUGGUAUCUACCUGAUAACCCAUUCGGAGGAGAGAAGCCAGAGUUAAGCGAAAUGUUUGCCCUUUGUUAAAUGAUGUAAAGUUCCUUACAUUCUCCAGAAGGAAAAAUCUGGGGGGGAAAUAAUCAGCAAAAGACAACGAUGCUAAGAUCAUUUCACAUUGAACUUUGCUCCAAGAGCCUUGAUUAAACCUAUUCAUUCCAGAAAAUCCUUGGAAAUAACAAAGAACCAAUAGCUAAACUUAAUAAGUCCAUUGUACACAUUUAUUGUUAGAAUUGUUUACAAAAUAAAUCCUAGAAGUAGACUAGAGGAUUGAUCGAUGUACCUGACAAGGAGGCCCUCCACAGAUGAAAUCCACUUGUCCUGACCGAGGAAAAUUCUUAAUUGUUUCUUCAUCAAGUUCUGCUGCUAGCUCAGCAGCUUCAGGAGUUGAAAUACAGUCAUCAGCAUCCCCACAUGCUGACAUGAUUGCCCUGCAUUUGAUUCAUUGAUUUACUGAAGAUAUAAGAGUUGAUUACAAAGCAAUUAUCACUGAAUCGAACAUAAAGCCAUGAGUUAUUAUACUCAAAUGAAAGCAAACAUCAAACUCAGGAUCACAUUGCAGUUGUUAAUAAACACCAAAGCUUCUGGAUGAUUAACCUUGAAUGCUUCUCCUGCUGGUUGCUCAUACUCUAUUGCCCAGUUGGUUAUCGACACACCUUUAGUUGCAUAUUUUUCAGUCACAAUGGACCUAAAUCGGUUUACUUGCUCACGGAACUUUGAAAGCUACCUGCUUGCUGUAGGCCAUCAGAUAAGCCACCACAACCUGCGAAAAUAUCUAAGGUGGCUAAGCGAUUCUUAUGGACAGCAUCCGUCUGUUUGUCAACAGCACCAUCAUGCUUUUCCUCUUUACAUUUCCCAUUUAUCUUUCUACAAGCAGUAUCAUCAGCCACACUCUCUUUUAGCACACUAGUCUCGAUGUGAGGCGGCAACUGGCCAUUAUACAGACAUUACAGUCAGCAUAAGAAGAAACCACGGUUUAAUAAACAUAAUUCACAUGAAUCUAGUUAAGGAAAUGAAUUAAAGGGAAAAUGAGUAAAUAUAAACUACCUGCUUGAUGGUUCCUUUAUCAGGAUCGUAUAAAUGUUCGCAGAAGAAAAUAUGCUCAAAGAUGGUGGGGCUAUCCGAAGGGGCAAGAUCAUGCUUCUUUCUAAUGUCACAUUUGCCUUCUACUCCAGUAACAGGAACUGUCAAUACUAGUUUACUGUAAUAAACCUAAAGAUUCAAUAGCAAAGACACUGUGUAUAAGAUCCACAAUAACAUAAUAACACCAAAAAGUCAAAUAGAAACUUUGUAUCACAGAAAAUAUAAGACAAAAGAAUACGUAAAAUGUUUAGAUUUUACUCCAUUCAAUAAAAAAGAAAUGUUAAAAUCGGUUCCUAGAACAUACUUACUUCUCAGAUUUGAAUUUAUUUUCAGCACCACCUGUUUCUUCACCAAAGACCUGGUGUGGCGUCUUUCCUCCAUUUUUUCAAAAAGACCAGACACAAAUGCACACUUGCUGAUCCUUUUAUUAGGAAGCUCUGCAAAUUGUUGGAGUAUGAUAUGUCCAUGAACCACCACAUACCUUUCAACUUCUGUGGGAUUGGAAGAAAUAUAAGCAGGAUUAGUCUUACUGAACUUGGACACUUUUUUUAUUACAUCUGCAAAUGAGAGUCGAGAUGCUCGACUCUGAUUGUUCAACAUUGUAAUGAGGGCAAUAGCAAGCCUCACAGUUUUUAGAACUGGUUUGUACCAUGCUGCAUACUGCUUUGAUGGCCUUCCAAGCCUAUACCUGAAAUCAAAAUCGCAAAUUUGAUAAGAACUAACACUGACAGAAGAUAAAGAGUACAAAAAGGCAAGCUUAAGCACUAGUACCACCACCAAACCUCUUGAUAGUAUAUGGAUAUAGAUGCAUACCAGGAAAUAUCUGUCCGAACUGAUAUGGAAACGAACGAAUAUCCAAAUUCGAUCAUCCAUUCCUGUAUUGCACUCAAAUAUACUGGUAUUCCCCCAACAUUCUCUGCCACAGAUGAAGACUGAUCAAAAUUAGCAUCAACACAUAAUCCACUUGAAUCACCAGUUGUCAUAAUCCCGGACCCAAAGAUGGUAAUAUCAUUAUCAUCACAUGGUUUAUGGCUUAGCAAAUUUAUUUCCGUGGUGUGUACCACAUUGGCCACUUCCUUUUUUAUGUUGCAUAUUUGUUGAUUCAAAGAAAUAGUACUUUUGUAUCCAUCAAACUUACUUUAUUAAUAUUCUUCAUCAUUUUGGUUAAUGGCUUAGCAAAUGUAGGAGAAGGAGUUAGCCAAAAUAAAUUACUUUCUCUUAUAUUAAUCUUUACUAAUCGCUGAAGGUAAAAAAAAAAAUUAAAACAAGUUAAAACAGUUCCAUCUCAAAAUCAGUAGGGUGUAACUUAGGGAUGUAAAAAACAUCCAUCUAAACUAGAUUCGGACUGGAUCCGACCUAGUCCAGGGAUGAGUCGAUCUAAUCUCGGGCAUCACCUGAUAAGUCUGUGGUCUGGCCAAGAACCUGAAUUUUAUUAAAAAAAAUUAUAAAAUAUAUAUGUUAUAGUAAAUAAUUAUAUCUAUUUAGCUCAUCUAUUACAUUUAUUUAAAAUUUUAAAUAUUUAUAUUUUCAUGCCCAAUUACAAAAUUAUGGAAUAAAUUAAAAAAAUACAUACAUGACAUUAUAAAAUAUAGCAUCCAAGCUUUUUAAGCCCAAACAAAAACUCCGGCCAUUGUGUUCAAAACAUAUGUCCAAAUUAGAUCCAGGCAUUGCCAUAUUGGAGCCCGACCUUGGUUUUGCCAUUACUUUGGAUUAUUAUAAGUAUUUCUAAAUUUCAAUCUAAUUUAAUCAUGUGAUGCACAAAUUACCUUUAUCACUUCUUUCAUUUAGAUACUAAUAAAUUUCACCGAAAUGAUCACCAAAAAACAAAAAAGAGAAAAAUCAUAUAGUUAACUUUUCUUCUUCUUUACUCCAUUAUUCAAUGGGAAUAUAAUAAACUAGGAGAAAGGAGAAAUUAAGGAGAAAAUUAGAUUGAUUGUUGCAAUGAUAAAAACUCAUGCAAGUGCUUAUUCAAAUAUAUGUGUGGCAUUCAUUAAUUUGACCGAAAAUAUAUGAAUUUAUUUGUAUUUUAAUCAAAAUCGAGGGAUAUAAACAAAAUUUUCCCUAAAUUGCAUAAAAUUAAGAAACCAGUAGUCACUGAAAGAGAAACAGAGUAAGAAGAGUUCAAACUUCAAAAGAUGGAACCCGAAGAAGAAACGCUAGCAACAAUCCCUGAAGAAAAGGAAGAUGAUGAUGAAGGCACGGCCAUGCCCGACGUUAAGAACAACUGUAAAAUAAAAACAAAGGGCAGCUCUUCGGACUCGAGCGAUGCCUCUGACGCCGACUCGGAUUCUGACUCAGAAUUCGAAGCAAAACAGAACAUGGAGCUUCAAACCUGAAGAGUAUCAGCUAUCCAAUGAACCUUCCAAUUACGACAUCCAUGUCCACGUAACUUCAAUACGCAUAUUUAUUGAGUGAUUUUGAGGAUACCAUUUGCUUGUUCUUUCUUGGAUUGCGAAAAAAAUGGUUUUUUUUUUUCAGUACAUAAAGGUUUUAAGAAAAAUGGGUGAGAUAGAGAAGUUAAGACAAGCUAGGGAAGCCAUGAAUGAGAUUUUUCCAUUGACUCCUGCCAUGUGGCAAGAAUAGGCGAGAGAUGAAGCCGCUAUUUCAACUAGGUAUGUGUCAUUUCCUUUCUGCAGUGGUUUUUUAUUUUGUGAACAAAUAUUUUUUUGGUUAGAGAUAUAGAUGUUUAUGUUAGUUGUUUGCUAUCGUAAAAAGGAAGAAAACCUGCUCAAAAGGUAUUAAGGAAAGAAAAAAAGGAACCAAUUUGAAGAAGGAGAUAUUUAUAGUGGGAGUUCUAUUCUUUGGGGUUUAAUUGAUGGGAAGAAGAAAUAGCUUAUACGUUUACAGAAUUAGAUAACACAAAUGUGACUCAUUUGUUAAAGGUAUAAAUUUAACAAGCUGAUAGCAGAAUUAACAUAAUGCGAUUAUUACAUUAAAUGAAAUAAAAAACAGUACCCACCGCAGAUAGUUUAGCAAGCUUCCGUCCUCGUGUUUUAGGAACUGGACAUCGGACAUCGGUGAAUUAACCAAAGGAUCAUGAAAGAAUCUCACAAAACAAAAUGGAAACUAUACUUUUUUUUUUGUAAUUGUACAGGUAACUGGACUAAUUUUCAGAUAGUUUUCAAAUUACACUUAUUUACAAAAAAAGCAACAAAAUGAUUUCCUUUCCUUUUGAAACAUUUUGUGGAAUCAAGUAACAGUUAAAUGAUGGGAGAAUAGUUAAAUGAUGAAGACACAAGUUAAGCAGAUCCAAUAAACAGGGGAAAGUGAAUUACUGUCCUCAAGCACAUUCUCUAAUAAUCUCAAUUUUCUACGUACAUUUUUGUGAAUUCAUGUCACAUGCAACAGUCUUUUGGGAUUUGUUGCAUCAAUUCUUUGGUGAUUUAUCUUUUUUUAUUAUUUUAUGACGUAAGAGUCCUGGUAGCAAUACAUUUGGAAUAAAAUGAUUUAAUUUAUUUUUCGUUGUUAUUAAAAAAAAUGAUAUAUUAUUAAUUAAUCAACUCAUCGAGAUAUUGGUUUCAUUUGUAACAACUAGCUAAUUGCUUAGUACAUUGUUGUACUUCUCAUUAUCAAAUCAAGAAGAACUUGUAAAUAAGAACGUAGACGUGGUACGCCAUGAUGUGAUAAAUUUAAUUCAAAUCUAAAUUAAGAGAUGAUUCAUAGAUAUAGGUACAUACUGAACAAAGAUAUUUAAACAUAUGCAUUCAAUUUUAUGAUAUACCUUACAAUAAUUGGUUUAUUGUCCAUAUCAAAGGGAGUGAAUAGAAAUAAUAUAGAAAGUAAAAAAAGAUGAACCAGCGCACAUGAUGAUUUAUAAAAUAAUAAAUUAAAUUUAUAUCAUUUUUAAUAAGUGUGAGAUUAUUUACACUUAAAAUUUAUUUUGAACAUUCUUAUUUUUUACUACAACAAAACCCUCAUUAAGGCCAAUUCAAUAUAAAUAAAUAGAAUAAUAAUACUUUUGACACCAACCUAGCGCUUUCACGCCCAUGUAAAAUUAUUAAACCUUAAAUUUAGAACGUUCUUCCUCAGCAUUAAAACUCGUGCAUUGUUUAAAAGUAUAUUUAACAAAUUUGCACAAAGAGACUCCAUGAUUCAAAUUUCUUUGACUUAAAUUUCAAUUUUUGUUGAAGAUAUAUCUAUUCCAUAUAAAGAUUUCAAUUUUCUGUACAAUCAUGAGCUGCGUAUAUAUAUAUAUACACAUAUAACUGUUCUGCGAAUAUAUAGAAGCAAUUUCAACCAUCCAACUUUUUUUUUUGAAUUUUAAUGAAUAUCAAUUUUAUAUGUUGGACAACUAUGAAAAAUAAAAUUAGCAAAAUGAUAUUAUUAACAAAUAGGAGAGCAAAAGGUAAUUAUAUGUUGGGGUGCUAAAUAUUUUUAUGGGUGUACGGAAAAAAAUAAAGAUAAUAGAAGCAAUGUUAUCGAGGAGUAUUUUGGUAUUUAUGAAAGUGUUCAAAGUGAAAAGUGAUUUCCUAAAAUCUAUUAACUGAUGCACAUAAUAAAAGAGCAUUUUGAGAAAAUUUUAGAUUACAAAUAGUCCCAUCCUUUAAUAUUCCUCAAUCAAUGUGUUUAUUUCAAAAUAAAAAAUCCAUCUAUUUAUUACUUUCUAACUAGUAAUAUUAAUGUGUUAAUAAUUGUGAAGAACCAGUGUAAUUUGUAUGGUGUAGAAAGCCCUUUAGACACAAUAACCCGAAUUGCUAACAGUAGCGGUUGGACUUGCUUGGGAACAGCCUCAAUUCAGUUACUUUUUUUUAUCGUGAUAUUUAAACAUAAGCAUCCGGAUCCGUGCGGAUCCCCACCUUCCACAUCCGGAUCGGCAUUUUUUAAUAUCCGGAUUUAGAUUUUUUCUAGAUCCGGAAGAGGAUAUUUACUUGCCAUCCCUAGUACCGAGCAACAUCCAUCCAUUAGGAGUGAAACUCCAUUGAUUUCAUAAAUAAAAAAUAAAUAACUCGUAAAGAUAAUCUUUGACAAUCACAAGAACAACAACAAUUCACUCCAAUAAACAACAUAACAAAUAUAUGGUCUACAUUGAAAGUCUUUUUAUGAUUUUAAUUGAAAGAGAAAGUACGAAGGACGUAUUAUACAUAAUUGAAUGUUAUCGUUGAUAAUUAGGCAAAAUAAUACUAAUCUAGCUAACUAAUCCAAUCAUCAUAAUAAUCUGAUUUUCAUUAUUUAUUUGAUAUGUCCAAUCAUGUGCUAAUUUAAUAAAGAACACUAAAUGCUUGAGUCUUUAUAUGUUUCAACAACUUUGGCUAAGUUUGAAAAGAACAUAUUAAUUAUGAAUAUUAAUACAUAACCCUGCAAGCUACAGAAUGCAUACAUAUGCAGUUGCAACAAAUACAUAUGUAAUAAAAAGAUCAAUUGUUUUUCACUCGCAUACUACACCCACCCAAACACAAUUAAUAUGUUAUCAAACAAAUAGACACAAUAGAAAUAAAUCUAAUGUGAAAACUGAAAACAAAAACAGCCCCAUCACCAUCAAUAAUUUUGACGAACUGGACAUGGGUGGACCAAGCAUCAUUGAAUAAUUAAAUGAAAAAGAAAACAAAAUUAAAAUCAGUGUCCACCAGAAAGAAUCAAUAUUUACGUGCUGCCUCCUAUUUGGUACAUCUAUCUAACUUUUAAAAAAAAUUGUAGUAUAAAUUAGAGCUCACUUUUUUAGAUAUGGCUCAUAGACAAUACAAGUGUUAAGAUAUAAUUAGAGUUUACAUAUAUACACGUGUCUAAUUCUAAUUGAUAGAUAUACUAUUCAUAAAUACUCAGAUGUUUCUAAAUGAUUGAAUAAUGAUAUUGUAGUGACUUGAUUGCUUUGUUCUCUGAUUAGAAAUAAAUCACUGUCCAAGAACCUUUGUCAAGAUCUGUUCAAGUUGCAAUUAAAUCAACACCAAUAUGAGGCUUCAAUGCUGAUUCACACCAAUAUGCAUAAAUGCACAAUCUACAUCCACGGGAGAAGCCACAGAAAAAGCUUUAUUGAUGAUUCAAAGUGAAUUUUACAGAGCUAAUACAGAGGAGAUUACAAGGAACAAGAAGACUCUUUCUCUCUUUCUAAGAUCUCUCCGGAAAGCUCUCAAAAUCCUAUGCAAAUUUUUUUCAACAACCAGCCUCUUCAUACCUCUGAUAUUAAAACCCAAUUGCACAGCUUUUGGACACGUGUAUAAUGGCUUCAUAACGAAUUUGAUUCCCUUCUCACAUGCGGUCUCACGUGCUUCACUUAAACUUGCUCAAAACGACUGAAACUGAAAGCAGCGUCGUUUUUCCUUAAGUUUAGUGAAGAAGAUAGCAUGUGUGCUGCACGUGACUCGUUAGUGGAUUCACUUACUCAAAGCACAGCCGUUCUAGGGCUUCAAGUUUUGGAUUCAUUGCACUCUAGUCCACAGAUAUUAUUGGUACUUACAAAUUUCAAAGAGGUGAUAACAGAUGGUCUAUUAUAAACACUAAGAAGGGUCCCUAGCAUAGCCUGAACAACUUUACUUAUGGUUUCUCAUCAAAUAAUGUUAUAAAAAAGAAAUACAUAAGUUAGAAGAUUCACAGUAUAUUGGAGUGAAAUUUUUACAUGAAUGACAGUGAAUGAAGUUAUGUUAAUUUACAUUAGGCAGAAACCUUCCUAAAUAGGAAUAGAAAUACUCUAUUAACAUAUCGAAUACUACUUUAAUAACAAUUUAGUUGACAAAAAAAAAAAAAAGCCUUGAUGGCUUGAAAUAAUUAACCAUAAUUAAAUAAUUGUCUUACAUAACCAAAAUUUUCCUUUCUUUAUUUAAUAAGACAUCGCCACACUCCUGAUUUUAUAAUUUAAAGCAUAAAAUAUAAUAGACAAAUUUGAGUUUAAAAAAAUAAAGUUGGUAGAAUGACCUGCAUACUUUUUUUAUCAUUGAGCAUGCAAUUCUCUGAAAAAACUCAUUGUGUGUGUGUCUAUUGUAAAUUUAUGACAUUUACUAAUCUUUUGGGUUUUGUUGUAUCUAUUCUUUGGUACGUGUUCAUCCUGUUUUCGUUCUUUUCUGAUGCAAGAUUCUUGGUUACAUUAAGAAUCAGAGUGAAAUUCCAAUUUUAAAAUUUGGAGAAAUAAAAUGUAAUAUGAUUUUUUUUCAUGAAUAAAACGAUUUAAUUUACUUUUUUCUACUAGCAAAAAUUAUUACUUUAUUAAACCCAUCAAGCUAUUGGCUUCAUUUAUAAACCGGUCAGUCAGUUUUUUAGUUUCAAUUGUUAUCUUUUAAAAGAUAUUAGAAAAAUCUUACUUUGAGUGUAUUUUAUCACUUCACUAAAAUUUUAUUAACCCAUCAAGUUAUUUGCUUCAGCUUUUCGUUCUGUUUUCUUGUAUAUGUUGCAAUUUUCAAGUAUCCCUCAAAAUUUUAGACCGUCAACACCUGCAGGAAAAUUGCAUAUAUUCUAUCAUUCAACCUCAACAAAUAAAUUCUUUUCACUGGAAUCCAACAAUCGUUAAGUGUUAACCUUGUAGUUCUCAAAAGCAGAAAUUGUUGUAUUAAUGUUUUCAAAGUGUCUCAGUUAAAAGAAAACUAAAGAUAGAAGAGAGUGAAAUUUCAACUGAGAUCGUGCCACAUAAGACGAUCGAUUUAAUCUUUUCUGUAUCUUUCUUCUAUCAGCGGACAAUCCUUGAUAUACAGUUGCAAGAGCGAGGUAGGCACGCUCUUGUCCAAAAAGUAUUUUAGCUUCGGACGAAUAUAAAGCCAAAGAUACACCAACGACGUGAGAUUUUGACCAACUGAAGACAGGCAUUCCAGGUUUUGGAAAUCAUAAAUCCAUAAACGGGUUCCUAACUCCUGUGGCGAAAUGACACCAAGUCAUGAAGUCCUCCGAUUGACAGUCGUUGUAGAGAUGAGAAUCUGCUCAAUCCCCCUUCCCCCCACCCAUCGAUGGCUUCCAAAUCUUCAUAUCAUGAAUAUAAAGUGACUGAAUGUUGCUGGGAAACAUACUGAUACAACUUGGCCAAUUGUUGUGAAUCAGAUCGAGCACAAUGAGGCAGCAAAGGAAGAGACCCAGCCUGCAGCAAUGGAAGAAGUCCAACCCUUGAAUGAGACACAAGCUAGAGAGCAGCUCAAGACAGGUCCAGCUCGCGCGAGAAAGAAACCAGGAUGGCUCAAAGACUUUGUCAUUUGAGGAAUGUUCGAGAAUGCUUGAGAUAUUAUAAUAACGAAUAUUGUUCUGUUUUCAAUUAUUGUUUUGUUGUUAUCAAUUUUAUUCUAUUUCGUUAGUUAAGGGUGCGUGGCUGUUUUUGGAAGGGAGAAUAUAUUGUACUGUCAAGGGACCCGUGAGGGAUAUCAAAAAGAAUAUAUCAUUUUGUCCUUUUUUCAGCUUCGUCGUCUUUCUCUUCUCUGCAACUCCCCUGUCCCCUUUCUCUUUCUUCAAAUUCUUUUCCCCACAGAUUGGAGCCUGCACUCGCUCAAAGAGUGUCGUAUCAAUUGGUGCUUUCAUUGCAUUUCAUCUCUUCACACAAAAAAAAAAACAAAAGAAACACAGAUGUCUCUCACAGAACCAACGACUGAUUCAGCAGUUCUCUCCACCAUGAAGACGCUCAUUGAAAAUCAAACGCUUGCUGUUCAUCAGACCAUACAGCAAUAUAUGUCCACGGUGGAUUCUCGAUUUGAGGAGCUACGUUCCCAAAUCAAUGGUUCCGUCGGAGCGUCAGUGGGUUCUUCCCGCCCAAUGGCACCGGAACCAGCGUCUUCGACUGUACUGUCAGGUGUUUCUGAUAUCUCUCCUCUGUUGCGUUCUAUGAAAAUGGAUGUCCCAAAAUUUGAUGGCACUGAUCCGACUGGUUGGGAUUUUCGAAUCAAUGAGUUCUUUGAUUUUCACGGCACCCCUGACCAUUUACGCCUUCGUAUUGUAUCUUUUCACAUGGAGGGAAAAGCAGCAGCAUGGUAUCAAUGGAUGAAGGCCAACAACUUGCUGAGCACUUGGCAGAAUUUUUUACUCAAUCUUAAGCAAAGAUUUGGUACAUCCAUGUAUGAAGAUCAUCCAGGUAACCUUUCCAAGCUCUCCCAAACGUCGACUGUUGCUGAUUUUCAGUCUGCCUUUGAGGAUUUGAUGAACAAGGUCACGGGCAUCUCCGAGCCAUUGUUGGUUAGUUUCUUUAUCACGGGCUUAAAACCCGAUAUCAGACGAGAAUUAUUAUUUGCAAGACCCACAUCUCUCAUGGAGGCUUUUGCUUUAGCCAAAGCUUAUGAGGCACGAUCGGAAGAAAUCAAGACCUCGAGCCGUUCUUGGACAAAGCGGACACCCUCAUCUAGUCACACCCACCAAUCCACCAUUACUGCCUCCCCACAUCCUGCAUCAUAUAAAACCCCAACAACAACUCUUCUUCCUAGUUUGUCAGCCACUAAACAGCCACGUCAACCCCCAUUAUUGCCUACUCCCACCUUGCCCAUUCGUCGAUUAACUCCAGCAGAAUUAAGAGAGAAAAGAGAAAAAGGGCUCUGUUACAACUGCGACAAAAAAUAUAGCGCCACACAUCGCUGCCGUAGCAAGUUUUUGUUAUUAAUGGGUACAGAUGAUGAAGAUGAUGAGCCAAGUGAGGACGCUUUUAGUCAUGCACAACCAGACGAAGUAGUCACAGCGGACAUAUCUAGUUUGAAUGCCUUGGCUGGGCAAACUAAUCCACGAUCUUUAAGGGUGCUGGGCACCGUUGCCAGCUAUCAGUUUCAGGUGUUAAUUGACAGUGGCAGUACCCGCAAUUUUCUUAAGCCGCCAUUGGCUGAACGCCUUGGCCUUUCUGUUCAAGCUAUAACUCCUUUUCGAGUUUACAUUGGCAAUGGCGAUUUUCUUACUUGUCGAUUUCUCUGCCCUAAAGUGCCUAUCAAUAUGCAGGGGCAUGAAUUUCUUUUGGAUUUCUUCCUUUUGCCAAUCGAAGGCCCUGAUGCUGUCCUUGGGAUUCAAUGGUUACAAAGCUUGGGAAGAAUUUCUACGGAUUACUCCGAGAUGACGAUGGAGUUUCAGUGGGAGGGAAAAUCUGUCAUUUUACGGGGAGACCCAAUUCCAAACCCGAAUUUAAUCUCUUUUAACCAGUUUCAUGCCUUGCUAUCCAACUCCAAAAUUGACAGCUUAUUUGAACUUCAUUCUUUACCAACUGAGCCAUCAGCAACUCACACAUCUACCAACACAUUGCCAGAUAAUGACUUAGAAUUUCUGAGGUCGUUGCCUGAACCUAUUACUACUCUCCUUAAAAAAUUUAAGGCAUUAUUUGCUCCACCCACUGGUCUUCCCCCUCAACGGCUAUUUGAUCACAAAAUACACCUUAUUCCCAAUUCCAAACCAGUCAACGUUCGCCCAUAUCGGUAUCCUUAUUUUCAGAAAACCGAAAUGGAGAAAUUGGUGAGAGAAAUGUUAAAUCAAGGCAUCAUAAAACCCAGCCAAAGCCCGUUUUCUUCACCGGUAAUGCUAGUAAAGAAAAAGGAUGGCUCCUACAGAUUCUGCGUGGAUUACCGCGCUUUGAAUGCGGUGACGGUAAAGGACAAAUUUCCCAUCCCCACCAUUGAUGAAUUGUUUGACGAACAUGGCGGUGCUAGGAUUUUCAGCAAACUUGAUCUCAGAGCCGGUUAUCACCAGAUAAGAGUUCACAAGAGGGAUACUUAUAAAACAACGUUUCGUACGCAUGAUGGACACUACGAGUUUCUUGUUAUGCCGUUCGGUUUGACCAACGCGCCGUCCACUUUUCAAGCAACAAUGAACCAACUAUUUGCUUCCUUUUUACAUAAAUUUGUUAUUGUCUUUUUUGAUGAUAUAUUGGUCUAUAGUGCAUCAUUGGCUGAUCAUGUGUAUCAUUUGGAGCAGGUCAUGAGUUGUUUAUACACAUCUCAAUUUUAUGUCAAAUUCUCCAAAUGUUUAUUUUGUCAGGAAUCAAUUGAUUAUUUGGGCCAUAUUGAGUCGGCUCGAGGAGUGCACGCUGAUCCGCAAAAGAUCACAGCCAUGGUAGAUUGGCCCUUGCCUAAAUCGGUGAAGCAACUGAGAGGGUUCUUGGGGUUGACAGGGUACUACCGACGUUUUAUUCAAGGCUAUGCAACCAUCGCAGCUCCUCUCAUUGAGUUGCUUUAUAAGGAGGCUUUUCAUUGGAAUUUGGCAGCUACUCAAGCUUUUCAAGCAUUAAAGAAGGCUCUUGUGGAAGCCCCUGUACUUCACUUGCCGAAUUUUGCCUUGGAGUUUGUCAUUGAGACCAAUGGGUCUAAUGUCGGGAUCGGUGUUGUGUUAAUGCAAGCUGGGCAUCCUCUAUCUUAUUUUAUCAAAAAGUUGGGUCCUCGAAUGCGUGCAUCCUCGACAUAUUUGAAGGAAUUAUAUGCUAUUGUAGCUGCGGUUCAAAAAUGGCGUCAAUACCUCCUUGGCAGAUUUUUCCUUAUACGAACUGACCAUAAAAGCAUAAAGGAACUGUUUCAACAAGUUAUUCACACCCCAGAGCAGCAAAUUUACAUUCGCAAGUUGAUGGGUUAUCAAUUCAGAAUUGAUUAUAAAGCUGGUACCUUCAAUAAAGCUGCUGACGCUUUAUCGCGAAUUCAUGGGGACAACUUGACUGAAGAACCCAACCCAACGACUCUCUAUUUGUCGUUUGUAAGCCAACCUUCUAGUGAACUAUUGACAAAUCUGCACAAGGAAAAUUGCUCUCUUCAUGAUAUGAAACAACUCCAUCAGAGGUAUGCAGCCGGUUCACUUUCUUCUGACUUCUCGGUUCAAGAAGGGUUCCUGCUAUUUCGACAUCGAUAUUACCUCAGCCCCGACUCAUCAUUAAAAGCCGUGCUACUCAAAGAGUUUCACGAGACACCAAUGGCAGGACAUGCUGGUAUUAAAAAGACAUUGGUACGUCUUUCAUCAAAUUUCUUUUGGCCUAAGAUGAGGAAAGAUGUUGAGCAACUUGUAGCUGCUUGCCUUGUUUGCCAGCAAAUUAAAUACUCAACUCAAGCACCGGCGGGUCUGUUACAACCCUUGCCUGUCCCUUCAUUAGUUUAGGAUGAGUUAACCAUGGAUUUCAUUACAGGGCUGCCACUUUCGAGAGGAUUUGAAGCAAUUCUGGUUGUUGUGGAUCGUUUAUCAAAGUCAGCUCACUUUGGAGCCUUGCCUUCUCAAUUUACUGCCAUCAAAACAGCAGCUUUAUUUGCUGACAUGGUUGUGAAAUUACAUGGAUUUCCUAGCUCUAUAAUUUCAUAUCGUGAUCCUAUAUUCAUGAGCAACUUUUGGCAGAAAUUGUUUGAUUUAAGUGGGACACAGUUACGCCACAGCACGGCUUACCACCCUCAAACGGAUGGCCAAUCCGAAGUAGUUAACCGAGGGCUUGAGCAAUAUUUACGAGCCUUCACACAAGACAAGCCACAGACAUGGUCUUCAUUUUUAAGCUGGGCUGAAUUUUGCUACAAUACCAGUUAUCACUGCAGCUUGCGUAUGACUCCCUUUCAAGCCCUUUAUGGCCGUCUUCCUCCCACAAUUCCAAGUUACUCAAGGGGCUCUACUUCAAUCCAAGCUUUAGAAGACAUGUUAAUUGAGAGGGAUGCCAUGCUUUGCUCAUUAAAAGAGAACUUACGACAAGCUCAGCAUCGAAUGGCUCAAAAGGCUAAUUUACAUCGCCGAGAAACUCAAUUGCAGGUAGGUGAUAAAGUGCUGGUGCACCUUCAGCCAUAUCGCCAGACAUCAGUUGCUAAGCGCUCAUCUCACAAGCUGGCAAGGCGCUAUUAUGGACCGUUCACAAUGGUAGAGCGUAUUGGACCCGUUGCUUACAAGUUAGAGUUACCCACAAAUUGUAGAAUUCACCCGGUGUUCCAUAUUUCCUUACUAAAACCUUAUGUGGGAAACUCCCCCAUUGAUGUUUAUUCACUGCCUCCAGGAAGUGUGGAUAACAAGCCCCUGUCAUCGCCAAUUGCAGUAUGUGCUGAGCGAAAGAUACUUCGACAAGGCAAAGAAAUUCCACAAAUUUUGGUGCAAUGGUCUGAUAGCUCACCAGAAAAUUCGACUUGGGAGGACUUUGAGGAAUUUGGUAAACUCUACCCUGCACUACACCUUGAGGACAAGGUAAGCUUUCAAGGAAUGGGGAAUGAUACAACUUGGCCAAUUGUUGUGAAUCAGAUCGAGCACAAUGAGGCAGCAAAGGAAGAGACCCAGCCUGCAGCAAUGGAAGAAGUCCAACCCUUGAAUGAGACACAAGCUAGAGAGCAGCUCAAGACAGGUCCAGCUCGCGCGAGAAAGAAACCAGGAUGGCUCAAAGACUUUGUCAUUUGAGGAAUGUUCGAGAAUGCUUGAGAUAUUAUAAUAACGAAUAUUGUUCUGUUUUCAAUUAUUGUUUUGUUGUUAUCAAUUUUAUUCUAUUUCGUUAGUUAAGGGUGCGUGGCUGUUUUUGGAAGGGAGAAUAUAUUGUACUGUCAAGGGACCCGUGAGGGAUAUCAAAAAGAAUAUAUCAUUUUGUCCUUUUUUCAGCUUCGUCGUCUUUCUCUUCUCUGCAACUCCCCUGUCCCCUUUCUCUUUCUUCAAAUUCUUUUCCCCACAGAUUGGAGCCUGCACUCGCUCAAAGAGUGUCGUAUCACAUACCAUCAUCUGCCUCAACUGGGAAGCAGUACCCUAUACGCUUGCCAGGCCUGCUCUGUUAAAUCUUGAAGACUGUGCUUGUCCUUGCGUGAGGCCUCUAGUUUAUCACACCACGUUAUUUGGAGCUUAGUCAGUUCCGCAGAAGGCAACCCUCCGUCAGGAAAGGGUCAUUUCAAUAAAAGCAUAGUACAAUUGCUUAACUAAUUUUUUGAAAACAGAGAUAUGAGAGAUUGACAAUUUACAAUUGGUUAACUGCUCAAGAAGAGAGCAAGCUUGAAAUAUGAAAUAUGAAAAAGAGAACAUAAAUGACAAAUCUUAAGGAAUUGGCAGGAUUCACGUCCGACCAACUCCACGUUGCUAAAGCAAAGGAUUAAUUUUUGAGAAAUUGUAAAGAAACUAAUACAAGUGAAAUGAGAGCCUGUUCAUUUGAUUAUUGGCUAAGGGUGAUUUCAGUAACGUUUUCAAAGAAGAUAUAGGACAAAGAUCAAAACGACAAAAUAAGAAAUUUCCACACAUGCGUGCAUGUGUCUGACCAACAGAACAUGGCUUGUGGCAAGGAUCGAUCAAAGAAAUAUAAACUUACAAUUUUAUUAAAGUAAGCAUCAAAAUGUUUGGCAAGUUUUAGAUUUGUAGAAUAUUGGGAAAACAGACAAAUCAUCAAUGAAGACAUUGCAAGUUAGCAGAUCAAUUAAACAGAGGAAAUAACUGAUCAAUUCUUUGUUCAAUGGCCACAGCAAUAGAUUAAAUAUAUCUACAAGACUACAUUAAUCCUAAUGGCAUUGUAGCAUCUCCAUGCAACAUUACAUUAAGAUGAAACGUAAUUAUUAAUUUAAUUAUAUAGUAAGCGACUCUUACAGAAAAAUAAGAAAUGAAAUAAGGCAAAAUCAAUAAAAGUACAUUUUAUAAAAGACACAGAUACAUAGUAUAAAUUUAGUUUUGAAUUACAUAAUUAUUAAUUUAUAUAGUAAGCGAGUCUUACAGAAAAAUAAGAAUUUUUUAAAAGAGAUUUGCUGAAGGAAAAAGUUUAGUUUGGUUUAGCUUGUGAAGGCUCAAGUAAUUGAAAGCAAUGCAAGCGAAGGAAACAUAUACUUCACCACGUUAUCUCUGUUUUCUCUAUGAUUUUGUCUCUGAUUCAUCUCUUUCUUUCUUCUUAAUUCUAUUUCUUGGAAGUUUAAGUCUGGUUUGUCGAAUAUUGAGUUGAUUCAGAUUCGGUUCUGUGCUUGUGCAUCUUGUGUUGGUCUCAUUCAAGAUCUUGGGCAGAGUCUUCGGUUUGACAAGUUAAUUAGAUCGUCCAAAGCUCUACAUUUUUUUUUUAAACAAAAAAAGAAGCACAGUCUGCUAUUAAUACUAUAUAAACUCGUGUCUAAUUACCAAAAUAAAUUCAACAUUAACAAAUAAUAAAAGCUAAUUUCAUUGUUACCGCCUUUUGUGCUUUCUUUUAUUUUAUUUUUUUCUUUUUGUUAUUGAAGAUACGUCGCAAACUGCUUUGCCCGGAAGCUAAUUAUAGAAUUUCCUCAGUGGCCAUCCAUUUUUAUGUCUAUUUUAUGUACUAUUGGCCACCAAGUAGCUUGCUCAUAUAUGUGUAUUGGGUUGUCACAGGCCUUAAAGCUGAAAAUCCAUCCCCAAUCUAAAGUGAAAAACAGUUGCUAGAACAGAAUCUAUGUUUUGAUGUCUUAGUUUAUAAGCUCAAACAAAUUAAUAGUAUACAGAAAAUGCAUGAUAGAACCCAAAACUCAUAUUGAUUUUUUAGUUUCGAAAUUCAUUUCAGAAAAUCUGUUCCGUUCAACAGAUCCAACUAAAAUUACCAACUAAACUCUAGCCACGUACUUGUGUACAUAUAGGUAGAGCACUAGGUCAACAAAGGAGUCCAUCUUUAAGGCCUUGUCUAAGACUGUGGUUGUCUUUUUCAUGAGCUUCUUGUUAGAUUAAUUUUAUAUUAAUCUAAUAUUUAGGGCCACACAUGAAAUAAAUAAAAUGUGUGUGCUAUUAUUUAAUAAGUCAAGAAUUAAGUGAUUUAUUUGAAUUUAAUUAAAUGGGAAAGAGUAUAAUUGUUGUGGAUUAAAUGCAUAGAUACCAGAAUUUAAUUAUCACUUUAAUGAGGGGCUGAAGUGAUAAUUAUCAUAAAUAACUGCUGAACAGUUUUCAUUAGAAAACCACCAGUCAUGUUAUUGAAUUAAAAGGGGUUAUGGUCCCCAAUCUCUCUUCAUCCUCUGCAAUUUCUCUAAUCCUCUUAGAGAGAAUUCUACACUCUAGAGAAAAAGAGAAGAUUGGAUGUUCAUCUCCUAUACUCAAGAACCACUACGAAUCACCGUGGAUUCAGGUAUGCUUCCGCUUUCGUAUUUCUCAGUAAUUUAAUCUGGAUGUUAUGAGGACUUAAGGUUUUACACUUCUGGCUUUCCAGCUUGCUGAGCGACGUACACAUAAAGAGGUUAUCCUUCUCUUUUUUACUCUGUUUUCAUAUCACAGAAUCCAUUUUUGAAUAUAUGUAUUUAGGUACACACACGCAUGAAUAUGCAUGUUUUUAUGAGUAUAUUUAAGUAUAUCCAAUGUUGAAUAUAUCCAAUGUUGAAUAACUCUUCCAUUUGAACAUGACAGUAAUCAGAUAGUUGAUAUUUAUGUUACAAAAAUUGGAAGCAACAUAAGGAAUUCAGAAUCAUGCAAGGACUUGGAUGUUUUCGUUAAUUCACUGGGCAUAUGUUUAUCCAACCUCUGAUUUUUCUUAAUAUUUCUCACUUGUUCAUUUCAUGGCACUUUUAGCCGCUACAUUGGCAUUUUCUGCCAUUUGCUUUUGUUCAUUGAAGUAAGUUAGCUUAUGAAAUUGCUUUUUGACAAAUGUUCUUCAGAGGGAUUGUGAAAAGGCCAAAUCAACUGAGAUGAUCGGGUUUUCUAGAUCAGCCAUCUCUGUCCUCAACGGUGCUGAACCGUCAAUUACUGAGACACCAAACUCUGACCUGAUUCAUAUGGAUGUAGACCAAAGCUUCUUGCCUGCACCAUCUCUGGUCAAAGCUGCUAUCUUUGAAAGUUUUGCAGGACAAAACAUGUCUGAGUCAGAAAUUGACGUCACCCCUAGCGUAAGACAUAUAUAUCAAGAGCAAUUUUGGUUUCUCAGUCGAUACAGAUACAGAAUUCACAUAUGCAGGUUGCUCUCAAUCUCUGUUUAAUAGGCUAGUCCUCUGCUGUAUCCUAGAAGGUGGACCAUUAUGCUUCCCAGCUGGCUCGAAUGGGAACUAUGUUUCUGCUGCAAAAUUUUUGAAAGCCAACAUUGUGAAUAUCCCUACUGAAUAUGAAGUGGGCUUUAAGGUGACAGAGAAGACACUUGUGACAAUACUCGAGACUGUAAAGAAGCCGUGGGUAAACAUUUCUGGUCCAACCGUCAAUCCAACUGGCUUGCUUUACAGCAACCGUCAAUCCAUUUCUCUAUUACUUUCUAACUUGUCAUAUUAAUGUGUUAAUAGUUGUGAAGAUCCGGUGUAAUUUAUAUGAUGUAGGAAGCACUUUAGACACAAUAACCAGAAAUUCUGAGAGUAGUGGCUGGACUUGCUUGAACACAACCUCCGUUUCAAUUACUUCUUUGACUGUGCCCAAACUCUUUCAAGGCUAAUUUCAAAAUUUUUUCAUAUUGUGCCUAAAUCGCUUCCUACAUCAUUAUAACAGUUUUUUUAAAGUUGCUGAGUCCAAAUCUCCAAUAACUAAUAAAUUAUGAUAAGAAAUAGAAAUAUUAAUAGUGAUGCCACAAACGCUUAGAAGCCCCUUGUUUUCAGUGCAUCACAUUCCGAAAUUGAAAUUAACAGUAGUUGCGAAGGCAGAGCAGCCCCUGUUUUUUUACAAUUGUACAAAAAUGGGAAGUAAAGCCAAUUCAGGGAGCUCCCCUGCUUUCGACUUAAACAUACAUAAUCCGAAGAAUUUAUAAUUAAAUAAAUCAUUCAAAAUCUCCUUUAAUUGAACCCCCACUUCUACGGUUUAAUAGGUGGCUAACGUAGUGAAAUUAACAUUUGGCUCAUGAAGUUGCCAUUAUAUGUAUUGAAAAAUAAAAUAAUACAAGAAAUUGAAAAUUAUUUGGCACUGGAACAUGUUGGAUUGUUAGUUGUUAAUUACGAUGGGUAUAUAAUCUGUCAGCAAUUCUCCUCCUAGAAUCUGCAAAUUAAUUAAUUAAAAAAUAAAAUUAUUAAAAUAUUAAAUGCAAAUUAAUUAAUUAAAAAAUAAAAUUAUUAAAAUAUUAAAUGCAAAUUAAUUAAUUAUUAAUUUAUAGAUUUACGUUUUGCAAAUUGUGCGCGGGAUGACAAAAAAUGCAAUCAUGUGCCGUUAACAUUUACAUGGUUAAUGUCAUCAAGAUCACAUGGUUGUUAUUUAUGAAAAGAGAAUUGCUGGAAAUUUUGUUAAUCCACUAUUGCAACAAUAUAUUGUUAUAAAUUGCAUUGUGUAAUGUAUGUGAACCAAAAAAAAAAAAAGGCGGUAAAGUAAAAUCAAUAAAAAUAGGGAAAAGGACACAAAGACCCCCAACGUUUAAAUAAGGGACACAAAAUUUCCUAAUGUUUCAAAAAAGACACUCAGACCCCUAUUUGUUAAUAGUAAAUUAUAAUUUUACCAUUAUACCCUUAUAGCAUAUUAAAAAAUAAUUGUUCAUUAUCCAAUUUAUUUCUAUAUUAUUAAUAAAAUUACGAAUAUAACUUCAUUACCCAAUUUUUCCAUUUAAUUUUUAUCAAAUUUUAUCUUCAAACUAAAUAAAUUUAAUCCAAUGCUCAAAAAUAAAAAUAAAUUAAAUUGAUUAUUAAUAUAAUAAAAAUAACAAUUCUCCAUAUGUUAUUUCUUAUAAUUUCUUAUAUAUAAAUUAAAUUGACAAUUUCUUAAAAAUAACAAUUCUCCAUAUAUAAAUUAAAUUUAUUUUAAUUUAAUAUAUGUUAUUUUUAUAUUAAAUAUAUGUUAUUUUUAUUAUAUUAGUAAUCAAUUUAAUUUAUUUUUAUUCUUAAGUAAUGGAUUAAAUUUAUUUAGUUUGAAGAGAAAAUUUGACAAAAAUUAAAUGGAAAAAUUGGAUAAUGAAGUUAUAUUCGUAAUUUUAUUAAUAAUAUAGGAAUAAAUUGGAUAAUGAACAAUUAUUUUUUAAUAUGCUAUAAGGGUAUAAUGGUAAAAUUAUAAUUUACUGUUAACAAAUGGGGAUCUGAGUGUCUUUUUUGAAACAUUAGAGAGUUUUGUGUCCCUUAUUCAAACAUUGGGGGUCUCUGUGUCCUUUUCCCAUAAAAAUAAAAGAAGAAGCUGGAAACAGGGAGAACACAUACACACGUGUGAGAGAGAAGAAGAAGCUACCAAAAACCCGACCCGCACCCGAGAACCGACCGGUUGUAUUUCACGAUACCGGCCACCUCACCGGCCGAGCAAGGUAUCAAUUAGAAGCUUAAAGACUGGCCAUUAUAUCCCAGCCGUCAGCGUCGCCAAAAACCGACCGGAACGCCGCCGUUUGUAGCACGAAAAACUGGCCAUUCCCGUCCGACCAUUCCCGUCACCUGAAACGGCCGAAUUGCCAUCGACCGGCUACUUAGAGGCUCACGGCUGUGGGAGCUCGAUCCACCGCCAUCGUCGCGCGUGGGAUGUCACCGCUGGCACCGUUGGAUAUAAAUCAAUCACCAUAGACUCUCUUUGUCUCAUAACACAAUGGGUGAUGAUUUGAUCAACAUUCGUUAGAGCUGCAGUUCUUUCUUUUGGGUACUUUUUUAUUUUCAUUCAGUCAGAUUCAGUUGCAUAUUUUCUUUUAGUCCAAAUCGAAAUCAGAUAUUAAGUACAUCUUCCAGAAUGGAUGCAACAAAAAUUCUAUCUGAUCUGCAGUUCAUGAAAAGUGGCCGAAUGCUUCCGGCAAUUCAGGCAAAUAGAAGCUUUGUUGACUGAUUGCUCUUCGUGUGAAAUUCUACCUAAUGGCUAUCCUUUUAAUGGUUUAAAUUCUUCUUUUUUUUCAUUGAACUGUUGAUUUAUACUGUCUUGUAUGCAAAUUAAAUUCGGAAUUUCUGAUGAUAUAAUCUUGAUUUAGAACAGAUUCGGUAACAUGUGGCAUUCUACAUUCUUGCAAUGCCAUUUCUUGUUAUGGCAGCAGCAUUUUUUAUCAUCGUUUCUAGAGAGAAUGAAGAGAGAGAGAAAGUAUCAUCUUAUUCCUUGUUAGUUUCUCCGUGUGAGCUCUGUAAAAUUACUUUGAAUCAUAAAUAAAACCCAAGUCAUAUGUAGCUAGUUUCUGUGUGUGAUUGUUUGUUAAUCUUGCUUAUUUCUUUUUUCCUAAUGGCUGAAAUAUUGCUUUAAGUUCUCAAGUCAUCUAUUGAGUUCAUCGAGGUCAUUCCAUUGUUCAUAUGUAGCUAGUUUGAUCUUGAACAAGGUCUUGGGCAGUGUUUUGAUGGCUUGAUUAGCGGCUAUCUUGACAGUACAAUUGGUAUCAGAACUAGUUCUUCAGAUCAAGAUCCAAGUAUGGCUACAUCAAAGAUUGAUCUCCAGAAGUUCAAUGGAAAGAACUUUAAUAUACAAAACUUGUAUCUAAUGGUUUACAUUUGGAGAUGAUGUAAUAAAGUGCUUUUGAUAAAUUCGCCUGGUCGGUUUACUACUUCACUAACCAUUAAUGAGCAAAUCCUCCCAGUGACCCUCAAACUCUUCUACACAAUUAUAAUAAUUUCAGUUUUAGAUAUACAAAAAUAAACAGCUCUCAAAUAUAUUAUUUGAUAAUGACAAAAACAACAAUUCACUCCAAUAAAUCUCAUAAUAAAUACAUGGUCUCUAUUGCAAGUCUUUUUAGGACGCAUUCAAAAAGAAAACAUAGGGAAUGGCAUUGCAAGAAUAUGGAAUCAGAAUAAAAGUGAUACAGAGAGAAAAAAAAGGGGGGGGGGGGGGGGAUGGUCGGAUUGCUUUGUUUGCAAAUUAGGAAAUAACUUUUGUAAAAUAAAAGUUAUUUUACUAAUGAUGGUGAUUAAUUUAUUUAACUUGUCAUAGUCUUUAAUUAAGAAUGAAGUGCAAUAAAAGCUUGUUGAAUUUCAUCAAAGGCUUGUAUCUCAUCUCACAAAUUGGCAAUAUCGAUCGGCUUCUUUAUAGGCGUAGCCAUGACGAAUUUAUCACUUCUUUCAUAUUGAUACCCAUAAAUUUCAACCUUAUUUUAUUUUUGAUGCACAUUCUAACUUAACAAAAAUAGUAUUCAAAUUGUCAGAAUUUUUUUUUUAAAAAAAUCAUAUACAAUAUAACCUCUAUAAAUUAAUACUCGAUAAAUUAAUAAUCUCUAUAAUAUAAUAAUUUUUUGCGGUCUCGACUUGGGCCUUGAAGCAAAAUUAAUAAUUUCGAUAAAUUAAAAAUAAUAAUUUUUCUGAAAACUCCUAUAUAACUCUGUGAUCUCAUUUAUAUCAUAAAUUAAUAAUUGUAGAAAUUACAAAUACUGUGAAAUUACAAAUGUAACUGACUAUGUAAAUUUAUUAAAAUAUGAGCUUAUUGUAAAUUAAUACAUUAUUUAUUUGAUGAAUUUAUUUAAAUUCUAUUGAUUAUAUUUGUAAAAUAUAAUGAAUUUUCAGUCAAUUAAAUGUUAGUUCUUUGUACUGUGAAUACACUCUAUAAAUUAAUAAAUUAUUAAUUUAAUGAUUAAUUAAUAUCUCUCUAAAUUAGUAAAUUCCUGUAGUCCUGACAUUAUUAAUUUAUACAGAUUAUACUGUACAGGGGUUCAUUUUUCUUCUUCUUUACUACAGGAUCACAUGGUUGUUAUUUAUGAAAAGAGAAUUGCUAGAAAUUUUGCUAAUCCACCAUUGCAACACUAUAUUGUUAUAAAUUGCAUCGUUUCCCAUAUAACAAAUAUAAUAAAAUUUUGAUAAAUUAAUAUCUCUGGGACCAUGAAAUAAUUUAUUAAACUUUAACGAAUAUCAAUUAUUUGAUAAAUUAAUUAAUUACUAAUUUAUGAAAGUAUUCGUUAUUUUAGAAAAAUAUGAUUACGUUUAUAGUAUUGAUUUCCCUUGAGUUGGAAUCUAUUAUGUUUUAUUUGAAUAAUACUUUUCUUUUAAGAAGAUUUUUUAAUAGUUAAUUGCUUUAUGAUUUCAAACAAAGAAGUAGAUGAUACUAACGUUGACUAAUUUUUUGUUGCAAAACAACAAUACUAACUAGGAUUUCUUUUCGCAUUACAAAAAGUCAAAGACGAGAUCUAAGUUGAAAUUAAUUUAAAAAAGAAGCAAACAAUGCUAAGAACAUAUUUUACACAAGCUAUAUGGACAUGUCAUAUGGAUUUCGUUUUUAUACUAGGUAAUUAUUAAUUUAUAUGAUAACAAAUUUCCUUCAAACUAUAGUAUUUGAAUUUGAAUUUUUUUUUAAAAAAAAUUUAGUAUUACAAUAAUAGUCGUGACUCGAUUGGUUUCGGUUUUAUAAGAAAAAGGUGGGGAAAUAGACAGACAAUGAAGGAACGAGUUAAGCAGAGCCAAUAAACAGGGGAAAGUUAAUUACUGUCCUUGAGCACAUUAAUAAUCUCGGCUUUCUAUGUACAAUUUUGUAAAUUCAUGUCAUAUACUAGAGUCUUCUGGGUUUUGUUGCAUCAAUUCUUUGCUGUUUAUCUUGUUUUAUUAUUUUAUGACGCAAGAGUCCUGGUAGCGAUGUAUCAAGAGUAAAAAUAUUUAAUUUAUUUUUCAUUAUUAUUGGUUUCUUUGUAACAAUUAAUUAAUCGACCCAUCGAGGUAUAUUGGUUUCUUUGUAACAAUUAGUUAAUUGCUUAAUACUUUUUUGUACUUCUCGCCAUGAAAUCACGAAGUACUUGCAAAUAAGAUCAUAGAGGUGGUGUGUUGUGAUGUGAUAAAAUCAUAUCUAAAUUAAGAGAUGAUUCAUAUAUAUAGGCACAUAUUGAGUAAAGAUAUUUAAACACAAGCAUUCAAUUUUACGAUAUACCUAAUAAUCAAAGGUUUAAUGCUCAGGUUAAAAGAGAGUGAAUAAAAAUAAAUGUAAAAAUAUAAAAAGAUAAACAAGUGAACAUGAUAAUUUAUUAAAUAAAAAACUAAAUUUAUAUCUAUUUUAAUAAGUGUGAAAUUAUUUACACUCUAAAAUUUAUUUUGAGCACUUAUAUUUUUUAUUUCAAAAAACUUCAUAAUUCCAUUUACUAAUAAGGACGAUUCAACAUAAGUAAAUAGGACAAUAAUACUUUUGGCAUUCAUGUAGCGCGCGCACAUUCAUGUAAAAUUCUUAAACCUUGUAGAACACUCUUCAUCAAAACUCAUUUAAAAGCAUAUUUUUCUGACUUAGAUUUCGAGGAGGUUCUAUGGGAAUGACCAACUGCUGAAAAAACAAAUAAAAAAAUCAAAUACAAAUGUAGAAUAUUCUCAUUAAAUUUUAUUUUUUGUGCACAAACAUGGCCUGCAUAUAUACAAAAAUAACUGUUCUACGAAUAUGUAGAAGCAAUCUCAACUGUCCAAUUUUCUUUUCAAAUUUUAACGAAUAUAAAUUUUAUAUGUUGAAUAACUAUGGAAAUUAAGAUUAGGAAAAUGAUACUAUCAACAAAUAAGGAAAGCAAAGGCAGUUAAUAUUGGUGCGACAAAUAUUUUUAUGAGUGUACUAAGAAAAAUAAAGAUAAUAAAAGGAAUACUAUUGGUAAUGUCAAUAGCAUUCUUUCAUAUAGUGCACAAAUUACUUUUAUCACUUCUUUCAUAUAAAUACUCAUAAAUUUUACCCAAAUUGUCAAAAAAAAGAAAAAAAAACCAUAUAGUUAAUUUUUCUUCUUCUUUAAUCCAUUAUUCAAUAGGAGUAUAAUAAAUAGGGAUGGCAAUGGGGAGGGGAGGGGAGGGGACCAAUCUCUCCGUACCCAUCCCCGAUACUUUGCGUAAGUCCCCGUCCCCGUCAGGAUUAUUUAAGAGAAUCUUCAUCCCCUCCCCAAAUAAUAACAGGGGAUCCCCGAGGGUUCCCGAUCCCCGAAUAACUAAUAUAUAUUUUUUGUUUUCGAUUUUGAGUUAAUCAUAUUAAAAUAAAAAAUUCAAAUAAAAAUAAAGUUCGAAAUAUAUCUUACAUUAAUAUCCAUUACAAAAGUUACAUACAUUAAAUUAGUAAGUAACACAACAUGCAAGGGAUACAAACUAUCAUGAACAAAUUAAUAGUCUAAUACAAAAUUGUUACAAAUAAAAUCAAAUUUAGAUUCAAAAUUAACUUUUCAAUGGUGGUGUGGGCACUUUAUAAAUGUGGACUACUUCCUUUACAGCACAAUAGUUAAGUCGAAGCAAAUCAAGAGCAAAUAUUAGAUUAGAUAAGAUAUUAAAAUUGUGAUUUGCUGUGGGCAAUUAUAACAUCUAAAAAUAAAUAAAAAAUAGAUUUAAGUUUAAAAUAUGUAAUGAAUAUUAAGAUUAAAACAAAAGUUUUGGGAUAAUAGAAUCUGUCUGGUCUUUUUAAUGUCCUAAAUAAAAAUUUAGAACUUUAAUUAGUUAAUUAGGCCUAAAAGUUUAAUAAUCUAAAUAUUUUGAUAUUUUUUAUUUUUACCAAUACUUAUAAUUUUAUAAUUCAAAUUUUAUUAUUUAUUUACUAGUAAUUUUAAAAAAUAAAAAUUAAAUUAAAAAUUAAAAUGGGGAAAUGGGUAGGGGAUGGGGAUGGGGAUGGGGAUUCCACCUCAUCCAUGUCCCCUCCCCGAAUAAGAAAUUGGGUAAAAAAAAUUCUCUGUCCCUUCCCUGAAUAAGAAACUAGGUAUGAAAUUAUCCUCUUACCCUCUCCGAAUGAGGAAAAUCCCCGAGGAUACCCGUCCCUGUGGGGAUUUUUGCCAUCCCUAAUAAUAAACAAUAUUCAAUAGGAGUAUAAUAAACUAGGAGAAAGGAGAAAUUAAGGAGAAAAUUAGGGUGAUUAUUGCAAUGAUAAGAACUCUUAUUUCAGAUACAUGCGCGGCAUUCAUUAAUUUGACCAAAAAUAAAAUUUGUAUUUUAAUCAAAAUCGAGGGACAUCAACAAAAAUUUUCCACUCCAGGUAUUUAUCAUUUUCUCGUUAAGAAAAAAAAAUUGCAUAAAAUUAAGAAACCAGUAGUCACUGAAUGGGAGAAACAGAGUAAGGAGAGUUCAAAUUUCAAAAGAUGGAACCCGAAGAAGAAACCCUAGCAACAAUCCUAGAAGAAGAAGAAGAAUCUGAUGAUGAAGAUACGGCCAUGCCCAACGUUAAGCACAACCCUAAAACAAAAACAAAAGACAACUCUUUGGACUCGAGUGAUGCCACUGACUCCGACUCGAAUUCUGACUUAGAAGACGAAGCAAAACAGAACAUGGAGCUUCAAAACUAGAGUAUCAGCUAUCCAAUGAACCUUCCAAUUACGACACCCAUGUUCAAGUAACUUCAAUACGCAUACUUAUUCAGUUAUUUUGCGGAUACCCAUUUGCUUGUUCUUUCUUAGUUGGGUGAGAUAGAGAAGAUGAGACAAGCUAGGGAGGCAACAAAAGAGUUUUUUUCCAUUGACACCGGCUAGGUGGCAAGAAUGGGCGAGAAGUGAAGCCUCUAUUGCAACUGGGUAUCUGUCAUUACCUUUUUGCACUGGUUUUCGAUUUUUUGAACAAAUAUUUUUUCGCUUAGAGAUAUAGAUGUUUAUGUUUGUUAUUUGCUAAUGUAAAAAGGAACAAAACCUGCUUAAAAGGUAUUAAAUAAGGUGAUACUUAUAGUUGGAGUUCUAUUCUUUGGGGUUUAAUUGAUGGGAGAAGAAACAACUUAUAUGUUUCCAGAAUUAGACAUUUGAUCGCUGAGUUAGUUGAGGAAGAUAUUUAAUCACAAUGUCUGAUGUUGUUUCUAUUGGCCUCAGCUAAUUGUUAAGAUUUCAUACUUUCAUUCAACAAUGCAAUAGACUUUGGUUGGGUCCACCUUAGUUGGGUGUUCUGAGGAACCAAUGAGUGUCUUGAGAAAACAUGGGUGGAGUGCGGAUCAUUUUGAGGAUUCAGUUUCCAAGAAAGCAAAAAUGAAGCCGUAGUCGUAGUUUAAAUUAAUUUAUGUUUUUGUCUUUUUCUGUGAGCCUAGUGAGCUUUUGUUUUCACUUUGUUCUCUUUUGCUUCUUUCCUUUCUUUUCCUGUUGUUUCUUGACAAUCAAGCAGAUCAGGAUUAAGUGUUUACUUUUGGUAUAAUUAUUCACCCUAACUCGAAUAAUACAUAGGUUUAGUGCUAUCAAAUUAGGAAGUGAAUUAAUAUCUGAAGCUGACUUGGGAGUGGAAUGCAUGUUACUAAAAAUAUGCUAUUAUGGUAGACAGAAUUUUCUUUUUGGGUAAGACUAAAAUAAUUACCGCUGUUAAUUUAUUUCAAUAAGUUAGUACAUCAUUCGAUAAUAAGUCCAAGAUUUUAAUGGUUUUGUUUCCUAAAAAUUUGUCAUCAGUGCACGAACAAAGUUCAAUGGAUGAACUUCUCUUCGUUAAUUCAAGUUCUGUAUGAAACACUAACCUUGCUCUUUACUUUAGAGCAUUUUAAUAAUUGAUGUUAAGAUUUGCUAAUGUAAAAGGAAAGAAAACCUGCGUAAAGGUAAUAAAGAACAGAAAAAGAGACCCAAUUUAGAGAAGGGAAUAUUUAUUGUGGGAGUUCUAUUCUUUGGGGUUUAAUUGAUGGGAGAAGAAACAGCUUAUAUGUUUACAGAAUUAGACAUUUGAUUGCUGAGUUAGUUGAGGAAGAUAAUUAAUCACAAUGUCUGAUCUUGUUUCUAUUGGCCUUAGCUAAUUGUUAAGAUUUCAUACUUUUUUCUGGUUUUUCGUAACUGUGACCUAAAGCUUAAUGUAUACUUUGAUAAUUACAUAAUCGGUUUCUUGCUUAUACUUGGCUUUAAUUUGUAGACCUCAGUGUCACGGACCGCAAUCGUGGCACCCAAGAUAUGCGCUUGUACGCUAGUGUCGAUGAUGGUUGUGCUGAUUGUUGGAGACGUGCUUCAGGAAUGUGUGUGUGGGGAAUACAAUGCCCUAGACUCUUUGGAGUUCAGACAGGCCGACCCGGUUGAGUUUGGGGAGCUUGUCGCUCGUCGAGGACUUAACGCUGAAGAGGGGUCUAGGAAAAUCCUGACGCACACUGGUUGGGAACUGAAGCCGUUCUCCUGACGAGCCCAAGGCAGGGCGAAACCAGUCGACAUUGUGCCACUUCCACUAGGCUUACUCUCGUAGUAUGGGAUGCGGGAGUGCCGCACAGGCUCGAAACCUCUCGUCCCGUGACAUCAGGCUCUUUUGGGAGUUGGGAAGAUUUACAAAAGAGGAGUUUCUGAUUAUCUAGUUUGUUCUCUUUAUGCCUACAGAAUUUGAAUUCAUACCAUGCAUAAAUUUAUGAUUCUUUGAGAAAGAUUUUAUGAAAUUGGAGCAUUAUAGUAAAGCGCACCACUGGUAAGCUUGAUUCACUUCAUUUUCAUUUACUACCAAGAGGUGCUAGCAGUUCAUGGUGCACAACAAGAGGUGGGGAAAAAAAGAAAUCUUCUUGCUAGUUACAUAAAUUUAAUAUUUGAAUCAUUUUCAACCAAAGAAAUGUGCCGAAGAGCACCAUUUUCGUUUAUAUCAAAGUUCAAUUGCAUCUUAUAUCAUUUGUUUCCAUCUCCUUUGUGUAAAUAAAGUCCUUGAUGAUGACAAUAAGAAUCAAAGAAGAAGUUAAUUUCAUAUAUGGAGAUUUUCAUCAUAGUAGUUCAUUGAAAGCGAAGGCAGCUGAAUACUCCUUUUUCUGAUGCAGUUUGUCCCUCUUUGGUGUGAUUAUUUGAAAUUUUUGCAAGAAUAUGAUCCAUCUAUACGAGAAUGUGCCUAAUAAAAUAUCACAAAGGUGCCUAAUACAGUGAAAUUAACAUAUUCAGCUCAUGAGAUUGCCAUUAUAUAUAUUGAAAAAGAAAUUAAUAUAAGAAACUGAAAAUUAAUUGACAUUGAAUCAUGUUGGAUUGUUAGUUGUUAACUAUGAUGGGAAUAUAAUCUUGGUCUUUUAAUUAUCAUCUAGCUAAUGCAUGUGCACUUUCAUUUGUGUCUAUCACUGGAGAAUAAAGUUGUUUGAUUGAACAACAUCAUAUGACAGAAACUCAAAACUCAAAUUCAUUGCCCGAGCAUACCAUGCCAUAUGUAGCUCAAAAGUGCAAUUAACAUUGAACAUUCAGCUAGCUAGCUCGUACUAAUUAAUUGAUAGAAAUUCUAGUUCUUUAUGAUUCACUAAAAGAGAAAAUAUUUGACAAUCACGAAAACAACAACAAUUCUCUCCCAUAAACAACAUAAUAGAUACGCAGUCUAUAUUGCAAGUAUUUUUAUGACUUUAAUUAAAAGAGAAAAUGCAAAGGACAUAUUAUAUAUAAUUGAAUGUUCUCCUUGAUAAUUAGGCAAAAUAAUACCAAUCUUGGUAACUAAUACAAUCAUCAAAAUUAUCCGAUUUUCAUUUUAAUUAUGUCCAAUCAUGCUAAUUUAAUAACGAACACUGAAUACAUGAGUAUUUCAACUUUGGCUGAGUAUGAAAAAUAUAAGAGCUGCAUUUAUGCUUUUUGUUAUUAAGUAGGACAUGACCAUAUUAUGUUGCAUUUGUCAGAAAACUGAAAAUUAUUGAAAAGGAUCUUAAAAGAGAGGUGUUGAAUUGUGAGCUUAAAAAUGAGUUUUAGAAGUUUCUGACAUGUCGGUUUGUAUCCUUGAUUGUGCAUGCCCUGUCGGUUUCUGGAUGAAACAGGAGAAUAUGACAUCUGUGUAUUGUCUUUUACUUCCAGUAAGUGAAUCACAUGUUCUUCGCGUGAUUUGACAAACUUUAUAUGGAUUUAGCAGUUGUUUUGGUCACUUAUUGAAGCAUGAGUUAAGCACGUGAUUCAAGGUUGUUAACUGACUGUUAUAAGGCGGGAAAAAUCUGGGUUUCUUACAACAAACCCAGAUGGCAGCUGGUGAGUGGGAGAUGUUUCUAGAUUCUUCAUGAUCUGUAUAUAUAGUCAUAGAGGCUAUAGUUGAGCCAUAUGAAAAGCUUGUAACUUCUUAAUGUUUGUAGCUUGUUCUUGGUUAUUGCUCUGCCCAGGGAAGUGAACUAAAAUGAUACCAACUUUUAUUUAUGGACAGGUUAAGAAAAUUUUUGAGUUUCUGAAAAAUGGCUUCCAUGAGAUCAGCAGUUCUUUGGAUUUAUCUUUUGAAUAUGCCUUGGUUGCUGAUGAGAAGAUUCCAUUCCUAGCUUAUCUUGCCAGUGUUCUAAAGGUGCAUUCCUUUUUCCCAUAUGAGCUAGCCACCAGCAGGAAGCAAAAGAUUCAGGAAUCUGAUUGCUGACUUCAUGAAAAUGUACCACCAUAUUCCACUAAAUGCUGAUGUGAGAAAACCUUCACCACUCCUCUGUUUUUUUUUUACUUCUCUGGACAAGUAAUUUUUGUAUUGUCUGUCCUAGAUUCUGUUUUCCUGAUGCAUUAUUUCAAUUUCUUUGCAUGUGAACUUGGAGCAUUCAUAUUAUUUUAGGUGUGAAUCUAUUGGUCAUUUACUUCUUUGUAACAAAUAACGUAUGAAAAAAUCUUGUUAUUUUUGGUUCUCCAUAUAUAGAGCUCUAUGGACCAAUUGCUUGUCUUCUGUUAUCCUCAUUAGAAUUUCUUCAGACUACUUCCAGUUCAUGCUAUUUGUGAUAAGUUGUAUUGUUUUUGUGGUCUUUCUUAUGUCUGUUGGAAAAAUACUGUAAUAUGAAAUUUUAUCUAAUGGUGCCCUUUAUUCCUUUUGCAUCCUGUCCCCUCUAGUAGUUAAAUGUAUUUUUGGAUUUGUCAAUUUAUUUGGUUUGAUGAAAUCUUGAUUCUCAUGCUAUCUUUCUGUUUAUCCAACUUGACCAUGGAAUGUGUUGUUGCUGUGAGUUACGCUGCACGUCCUUGUUAUUCGUCUAGUCUUUUUAUGUAAACAUACGGUUUUGAUGUACUCGUAUAUAUACUGGACCUGAGAUAUUUGCACCUGACCUACUUAUUGAUGUACGUGUAAAAUGAAGAACUUUUUGAGAUCUGGAAUGGAUCAAGACUUGCAAUUUUUAUUUGUAGAUUUUCCACUCUCCAGUCCAAUUAUAAAAGACAGUUUGUGAAUGCUGCAUGAAUAAGCUAGCCAAACUUAAAGAUGCUUAAUUGCCUCUUUCUCUUCUUUUGUAUACGAGUAAAACAAUCCACAUUCCUAACUUUUCUUCUCCACUUGUUUCUCAAGAAUGUUGUCUUUCCUUCAAGAGCUGUGUGGCAAUUGUGAAUGCUCUUCGAUUGUUUUCACCUCGCCUCGAACAUCUAACCAGACACUUACCGAAGCAAUGGUUAACAAGUUUAGCAAUCAAGGUAUGAUCUAUUUCUGAUUUAUUUUUGUGUUAUUUUUGACAUAGUUGAAGAUGUCAUUUUUUGGCAGAUUUUCUUUGCUAUUCUUGGAACAAGUAAUAGUGCUUAUUGCCUUGUUUGCACACAUACUAGUCUAGACACACCACAGAAGUUUUUGGAUGAUGAAAUAUCAGAUAUGAACUCAGCACAUUGUGUUGAAUGAGGCAUAUCAGAAGUUUCCCCAAGUGACGGUAAAAACUGGUAAUUGCAGGAGAUGAUAUAUUUAAUGAAAAUUACUGGGCAGUCAGACUUUUGUGUUGACAUUGAAGGGGGAGAUGGACAAAGGUCGAAGUAAUACAAUGAGUGCUGAGUUGGAACAUGUUAAUGCUCAUUUGGAAAAUGGGUGAGGGUCACAGUGCCAAAGCUUGCAGCCUAAGGUUAUCAACAUUGAUGAAGAGGCAAGUAAUUCUUCCGGUGAAGAUAUUAAUGCCACGAAAGCUCAAAUGUAAUUUGAUUAAAGGAAGAAGUGCUUGCUUUGCUUUAUGUGCUAUUCGUUUAUGAUAUUUUCCUGGUUUUGUUGUGAGAUGUUUAUCUUUGGAUGUUCUGUUUAUUGUACUUUGAUGGGUUUUUGAAGAUGGCUUGUAUGUAUUAACAACAAUAAAGUGGUUUUUAUAAAUCCUAGUCCUACAGCACUAAAAGAAAUUAAUACGCUUGGUUUAUUGUUAAUAAAAAUAUAUAUUAAAAAAAAAAGUCUUUUUCUUUGGCAUAUUUUAUGCAUUACAAAAAAAAAAAUAUUAUCACACUCUAAUUCAUAAGGAUAUUCCUCGUGUCAUAUUAAUGUAUUAAUAUGAAGAUUUUUUAGAAUUAUAAUAGUUUUUAGAAGGGAGAUUGCCAAUUUCCCCCCUACAGUAAUCAACAUAUACCAUUUUCCCUCCUACUAUUUUUAUAAUGGCCAAAAACCCCCUUGAUAACAUAAGUUUACAAUAUUACCCUUAUUUUCAACUAUUCUUUUAUUUAUAUUUAUUAUAAAUUAAAUAAAUGACAUGAAUAGAAACUAAAUAAAAAAUUAAGCAUUAAAAACAAGAAAUAUAUGUUUUGAUAUGAGAAAAAUUAAUAAUAAAAUUUUUUUCUUGUACUUAUUUAUUUUGUGAAAAUUUUCUUAUAAUAAAUAUAUAAGAAAGUUAUUAUAAAAUGAUAAAAAAUUAUUAUAAGAAAAUUUGAAUGACAAAUAAAAAUUUAUUAUAAGAUAAAUAAUAAAAUAUUUUGCCUAUACUUCUUACAUGUAAUUUUAAAAUAUUACAAAAUGUUUAUUAUAAAAAAAUGUUCACAAAAUAAAUAAUUACAAAAAAAAAUUAUUAUUAAUUUUUUUGCUCAUAUCAAAACAUAUAUUUCUUAUUUUUAAUACUUAAUUUUUUUAUUUAGUUUCUUUCAUGUAAUUUAUUUAAUUGAUAAUAAAUGUAAACAGUUUUUUAUUUAGUUUUUAGAAUUAUAACAGUUUUGAUGAAUCCGAAUAUUCAAUAACUUAUAAAUUGUAUUUAUUUAAAUUAAUAGCGAUGACACAAAAAUAAUUAAUUCAAGAACUCGCCUAUAGAGCAUUAAUUUUGUAUUGCAAUCUAGCCCUUAUGUGUUUAAUUAGCAAUAGGAAACUACUUUAUUGUUCAACGCCAUUUAAAGAACAUAAUAACGUUGUUGCUGAUGAGGCAGCCUGUAAUUCUUCUAGUGCAGAUAUUGAGGCCACUAAAGUUGAAAUGUAAUGAGAGAAAUAUAAUGUGUUUGCUUAGUUUGCUUUUCCUUUUUCAUAUUUGUUUUUUAUAUUUAAUUGGCUUUGUCGCGGGGUACUAUUUUCUCUUUUUAUUUUUUGUUUUCUCAUAUCAUGUAAUAAAGUGCUUUUAGUAAAUCAUGGUCGGUUUACUAUUAAUUCAAUCAAAUUUAAUUUACUUUGGCUGUAAUAAAGUGCAUCAUUGUUAUUAUAAGCAGACGCUGUAUAACAAUAGAAAGAGCACCCAACAUCUCAAGAUCUUCCAGCAAAUUAAUGAGAUUACUCCUGUACACGAUCAAAAUCAUUUCAAUUUCAUCGUAUGUAUAUGUCAAUAUGUGUGUGUAUAUAGACACACGCUCGCAUACACAAAAUGAAAAUAAUUUUGAAAUAUUAAACAUUUAAAAUAGUCAAGCAUAUUAACAAUUUACAAUUUAAAUUAUACAUAGACGAAAUAAUGGUAACAACAAUAAAGUGCGUUUUAUAAAAGAAUUAAUGAGCUUGGUUUUUAUUAACAAAAAUUAAAAAAAAAAUUCUCCGGAGCUUAUUAUGAAUUUUAAGGAGGAAAAAAAAAGAGUCGUACUCCGAUUCAUAAAGAUAUUCCUUCUUUCUUCUUUCAUAUUUGAUGUGUUAAAUAUGAAGAUUCAUUCCAAUUAUAACAGUUUUUGAUGAAUCUAAAUAUCAGUAACUGAUAAAUUAUAUUUAUAAAUAUUAUUAGCAAUGGCACAGAAACUAUUAAGUUAAAUUAAACAAUUUUGUAAUACAGUCCAGUCCUCGUGUGUUAAUAUUGUUACUCAUGAGGCAGCUAGUUAUCCCUUCGGUGUAAAUAAUUAACGUUCAUAUGCACAAUAUUUAAAAUAAUCACCAAACAACAAUUCACAAGUAAGAUUACACAGACGAAAUAAUGCUAAUCUAGCAAAUUCAAUCAUAAUAAUUUGAUUUUCAUUUAUAUUAAUUAUUUCCAAUCAUGCUAUUUUUUAAAGAAGAACACUCCAAUGUUUAUAUAUCCAACUGGUAAAAUUUCAAAACAAUUUUUGCCAAAGUCAAAUGAAGAGAAAUAUUAUAUAUAUGUAAACAUAAAUGAAGUUUCAACAGCUGAGAAUGAGAUAGGCAAAAGAAAUUAAUUCAUUAAUUAAUUAAUAGAGUCCUCCUCUGCUAAAUAAUGCGAGCCCAUUUGUUCGACUUACUAUUUUUAUUUUUGUUUCAAAAACCCAUUAAUCACCGACACCGAACCAUAUUAAUUAAAAAUAGUUUUCAACUAAUAUUUGAAAAUUACAUACACAAACAUUUAAAAAAAAUACUAAUAAUAAAAUAUUUCAGUCGUCCACUGUUCAAUCAUCGAAAAUCCAUUAGUCAUCUAUUUGAACAUAAGGUACAUGGGUUAACAAGUCCCAAUAUUGUCCUCCAUCCUCUCUGCACUUCUCUUCUAUCAACGGACAGCUCCAGAUCUCUAAUUGCAAAAGUGAGGAAGGCAGGCCCUUCUCCGGAAAGUAUUUGAGCUUGGGACACCAACGAAGAUCCAAUUCAGUGAGGUUUUGAAGAUCAACAAUUGAAGAAGAUAGGCGUUCAAGAUUUGGAAAUUUGGAAAUCACCAGAGAUGUUAGAGAGGCAGGAAGAGGAAGCGCGGUCCCUAAUCUUUUGUCCUCUAGUGGAAAUGACACCAUGGCGUCAUCACAUCCUUCGAUUGUGAGUUUUCGCAGAGAGGAGAAUCUGUGAAAUCCCCGGCCCCGCUCAAUCAUUGACUUCCAAAUCUCCAUAUUACCCCGAAUAUGAAGUGAAUGAAGGUUGGUGGGAAGGCCAUCUUCUUCAAGGCUUGGAAGCUCACCUCCUCUUCCUAUUGUUAAUUCUUGAAGAGAGCUCAGAUUGUGCAAUCCCUUGGGUAAGGCCUCUAGUCUCUUACAAUCAAGUAUCGUCAGCCUCGUGAGUUUCGCACAAGGCAAUCCCCCUUCGGGAAAGGACACCAGAUUUCCACAAUUCCAUAUCUUAAUCCCUUGAAGCUGACGGAGAUUAUGUAAACCACUCGGUAAAAUUUUGAGAUUUUCACAAUAAGAAAUGUUGAUUUCUUCAAGAGAUGUGUUGUUGUCCAACCUUUCUGCUAUUGACUCCAGCUUUGAACAAAACCAAACCGAAAGGGACUUAAGAGACGGAGGUAGAUUGCCAACUUCAAGGGACUCAAGCGUGGCAGGUAACUCGUUUUUUGAAAAUAUACAUGUCAGAGAGUGACAACAGUAAAUUGUUAAGUCCUCAAGAAGAGAUGAGGCAUACCUUCUGCUGCUGCUGCUGCUGCUGCUGCUGCUGCUGCUGCUGUUGCUAUUGCUACACCGGAUGUCCUCUUCCACUGUCAAAGUCCUCAUAUUAUCGCAAUUGUGAAUCACCAACUGCUUAAGGCUCAGUGGUAGCUGGGCUUCAGCAAUAUAUGUCAACGAACAACAAUGCUUAAUACUCAAGAUCUCGAGAGAUGAAUUGGUGUCGCACAUCCAUGCCUCUGGUAAUGAUUUCAGUGCAUCACAACUGCUAAUCCUAAUUUUCCUCAACUUGGAAGGCAGAGCAACCUCAGGAAAGGAAACAAGGGAACUGCACUUGUAGAUUUCUAUAUCUCUCAAGGAAUUGAGGCCGAGCGAUGAUUGUGGCAGCUUGACAAGGCCUUCGCAAGAUCUCAGUCCUAGAUAUUCGAGUCUGCAUGACAACUCACAGAGCUGCUGUUGUUGGUCUUUCUCUUCCUCCGCCACCAAGGAUUGAAGUUUGGGACAGCUGUCAAUCGUCAGUCUUUUGAGAGAGCAAAUGUCUUGCAGUAAUCCGUUAUGACUCUUCCAUAUAUAUGUUUCAUUUUUAAUAUUUUUUAUUUCCAAUUCUUCCAGUUUUGGUAUUCGCGGCUUCAAUGGCCCUGCGAGGAACACUUGAUUUGAUGUAUCUCUACAAACCACUGAAUUCUGUGAGCCGAGAUGAUCAGUUGCACUUCUCCACACAACCUUUUUACAUCCAUCAAUCUCUAAUUUGCAAAGAGCUGGAAGACUCGUAAUUGAAACUAACAAUUCUUUGCAUUCUUGAAUAACAAGCAUCUGCAAUGCAGGAAGGUGCUCUGGAAAUGUUCCUUGCAGUUUAGAACAUCUUAAAAUGUCAAGCUCUCUCAAUUUAGGAAACCGUUCAACUCCCUCACUGGAUCCAUGAGGAAUCCAGUCUUCCCAUUCUUGCAUGACUUCAAAACGAAGAGUCUCCAAGCAUGGAAAUGGAAUUGGAGAGUCAUCCCCAUAGAACUCUGAACCCAAUCUCUUUACUCUACUCAUUCCACGCACUGUAAGAUGCUUUAGAGAGGGCAGUUGCCCGACAGACGGCGGGACAGUACACAUGCCGCAAUCUUCAAAUUUAAGUGUUACUAAAUUUGAGAAUGAGGAAUCUCCUAACCAUGUUGGAAAUUUUGUACCUCCAUAGCCACAGAUACCAAAUUGUUCCAGAUUUUUAUGGGGUUUGAGCAUGUCAAGCACACCCAUUUCAGUUUCUGCCUCCCUUGAAGAUGAACCAUCGGUACUGCAUGUCCAUCGAAGCAAUAAUUCUCUAAGAUUCUCCUUUACAUCCAAUUGAGUCUCCUUCGCAUUACCAACGUCUUUUACAUUCUCCAAUUUUGAAAUUUCAAGUGUCCCACGAAGAUGCAUCAACAACUUCAGCUCUGGUAACCUCAAACCGCUGUCUUUUCCCACAACAAAAUUAGACAGUGUCUGAAGACAAGUCAACUUACCAAUUCCUACUGGCAUUUCCUCCAAUGAAUAUGUAUUUGAAUUAUUGAGAUGAUGCAAUUUGGUGAGGUUUCCCAUGUCUGCACACAACUUCUCCAGCCGAUCACAAUCUUCCAACAGAAGGGUGUGCAAAUUGUAAAGCUUGUUGACUGAUUCAGGCAGAGUUUUAAUCUCAGUUCCAGACAGGUUAAGGUGCCUUAAAUACCUCAAAUCA
rnacentral:lncRNA from 1 species